UUCGUUUUUGUACGUCAUAAAAUAUGAUUUUUGUACUAGUGUAUGUAUUAAAAUGUUUAUUCUAACUAAAUUUAUUUAUAUUAUAUAAGUAAAUGUAAAUUUUACUUUUUAAACUUUUUGCUAAAUUUCUUUUUUGUCUUUUCUCACGAGAACAUUCUCGAACUUUACUUCUGUGUGCGGUGUUUUCUUGUUCCCUCCUUCAUCAAUAUCCAGUGCCCUUCUUUUCUUUUCAGUAAUAACCUAAACUUCUGUCUUCUACGUUUGGCAUUUCCGAGGGUCCUACCAUUUACGUUUCGUAGUCCCAAAGUCUUACCAUGUUACCGUUUCUUCUGGUCCGUUUAGUUCAUUUAAUACUUUUAGCGAUAUUUCGAAUCCUUUCAAACCAUAAAUCGGUGAUAGUUACUGAAGAACAGGCUACUGAAGAACCGGCUGGUGGAGAUGAAGAAUCGUCGAUCGGUGGAGCUGCUGAUAGAGCAGACAAUGCCGUGAUCUCGCCGGAGCUCAAUGAAGAACUGACUGGUGGAGCGGUUGAUAGAGCAGACCAUGGCGUGGUAGUUAUCACGCCGGAGCUCAGUACAACUGAUGGAGUCCUUGAAGAAGCUGCUGGUGGAGCAGUCACUGAAGCCAGUGGAACAGCCGAUGGAGCCGGUAGAAAAGACGAAUACGCAGAACAAAGGCAAGAACUUUUUCGAAAUUUAAUUAAUGGGUACUGUUUGAUCAUUUUUGGAUUUAUAUCCAAAAGGCCAGUUAAGACCCUGAUACGAGAGGCCAUAGUUAUUUCAAUCACGGGUACUUUUCUAGUACCAAUGGUUGAAUUUUUAAUAUAUAAGAUAUUUAUUAAUAGGGAAAUUAAAAAAAUAAUAUCUCCUAUAAUCGUAUCAACAUUAGGAUUAGGUUUUGGUGCUGCACUUCCUAUAGUGUUCUUGUCUGUUUUUCCGUUUGAAUUUAAACCGAGAGUGGCCUUUAUUGGACUCNGUAUAUUCUUUCCAUUGGUUAUAUUAAACUGGGAACGAGAUUUAUAACAUUUGCAGGAGGUGCUAAGAAUGGUUGCAUAUUUCUGGUAGGGAUUGUUAUAUCCCUCUUAAUUUGUUUUUUUGUUAAUGAAGGUUUUGAGAAACUUCACUUAGUUAGUUAAUUAGUAGUAGAAAUUUUUAUAUUAUCUUUGUAAUAGUUUUAGUUAAUUUGUAGUAGAUAAUUUGAGAUAUUUUGUAAGGAUGAUGUUUUUAUAUAUAUGAUAUAUUUUGUACUACUUCUGCCAUGCAUUGAGUAACAUUUAGCUUAUGUACGACAAUUUUUUUUGUUGCUUCUUUUCUCAAUGUUGAGGUUNUACAACAUAAAAGUUCUUUCCACGUCAUUUCAAUACAAAGUUAUUUNUAAACUAAAAUUUGAGACAACUCAUUUAAACAUGCUGGAAAAUACAUGGUUCACGAUAGAAGCUCGAUGUUACACUGAAAAUUAUCUGUCAUGAAAAUGUCUAUAUUUGAUAGUAAUGGUGUUAUGUUAAUAUUACUGCAUUUAAGAAAAAGAAUUCAAAUUGAAAAAUAUAAAAAUUGGUAUAAACGAUAAGGGUGACAUUAUAUUAUAAUUAUCACUAGUACAAAAAUCAUAUUUUAAGACGUACAAAAACAAACUAUGACGUACAUAGUUUUGUACGUUAUAACAGGUCUACAUAUUUUAUGACGUAGCAAAGAUUUACGUUAUCUGAACAUAUUAUGACACUGUUUCUAGAAGAAAUAACUCUAAUGAAUGUGAACAUAAAUAAUUUUACUCAAUUAAUAUUAUGACACUCUUUCUAAAAUCAGUCCUUUUUUUUUAUAUGAAUAUUGAAGAAAAUUGUUUCGAAUUGAUAUUGAGUAAAAUUAUCUAUGUUCACAUUCAUUGGAGUUAUUUCUUUUAGAAACAGUGUCAUAAUAUGUUCAGGUAACGUAAAUUUUUGCUAUGUCAUAAAAUAUGUAGACCUAUUAUAACGUACAAAACUAUGUAUGUCAUAGUUCAUUUUUGUACGUCAUAAAAUAUUAUUUUUGUACUAGUGAUUUUAACUAGAUGAACUAAAUUUGAAUUUCUUUUUCAAUUCAAUUUAAAUUACACUACAAAAAAAGUCACAAUUACAUAAAACCCAAAUCUGUAUGUAAUCUUCAAAAUCUAUAUGUAAUGAUGUGCUACAUACAAAUUAUAUAAAGACAAAAAUAUGUAUGUAAUGUGCUUGUAGGUAACGCUAUAUACAAAUAAAUUUGUAUUUAACUAAGUAGGAACAUUGCAACGUCAAACAUGAUACAAAGAUCACACAUACCUGUAAAACCAAUUUAAUGAUACAAUGCAGACAAUUCAAUGUUACAAAGACGCACAAUACUAAAUAAUAGUUUCAUAUCUUGAUUGAAUAAUAGACUUCAUACAUAGUAAUUUGUAAAUCCAAACAUGUUUAAAAUGUCUAAGUGUUAAUAAUAUAGGAUAACUAACAAGUUACUAAUAUCAAAUGUCUGAAAGCCCUAAUACUAAUAAUCCUCAUAAGGAUUUUUUGGAUCUUGAGAUUGAUCUUGUUGUUGGUCUUCAUUCAUGUCCUUGGGCUGAUUUUGUUGGUCUGGCAUUGGAAAAAUACUUUGUGCAGUCGUUGUUGCUGAAGGUGGAAGAUAUGCACCAAUAAAAUUUGGUAAUGUGUCAAAUUUGGUCUGGAAUUGUGAAGUGAUAUGUCAAAUUUGUUCCUCACUACUAGCUAGUCACCACUCACUAUUUGCUAGUCACAACUCAUUCUGUGCUAGUUUGGUUUGUAGUUGCUUAAAAUCCUUUACAUUAAUAAAUGUUUGCAUUAAUAAUAUAUAGUAACUAAUUAACAUGUGAAAUGUUAUACAAGUUGUAGAAACUAACAUGUGUCUGCCUAGAUCUAUUAUCUACAAAUUUUCAUAUUGAACGUCGAAUAAGUGUUUGUUGAAAUAUUUCAUCAACAUGGACUGAUCGACCGAACUCCUGUGACUAUAAACAAAUAAAUAUCUAAAGUAAAGAAGGAUAUAUAUGACUUGCUUUACCCUUGCCCUUAUUUGAUUGGGGUAGUUAGUUGGUUGGAUGAUGCAUUUGGAAUAUUUAACGUGAUAAAAACUUCACAACAUAUUGUUUUUUACCCUUGUCCUUAUUUGAUUGUGUUGAGGGCAGAGGAAGAGGGUCAGAACCGGGUGAUGUCAUCUACAUGAACAAAAUACAUGAAUAGCAUGGUCAAGGGGUAGGGUGCCUGUAGAAAAUUCUUCAACACUCAAGUUAGUGUUAUAAGUUAGAGAUUUUGGUUAAAGUAUGAUUAAUGCAAAAGGUAAAUUCAAAACUUGAUUAAAGUUAUAUUUAUAAGAGUAUUUUCCUAACCGUAGGGGCCUUUACUUAGAUAGGCCAAAAUUAUAGGCCCAAUGGCCAUUUUACCUCUAUGGUGAUAUGCAGCCAAUUUUGGCUAAGUUACAUUGUUUAUUGAUAUCUUUAACAGGCAGGGAUAGUACCAGUAGGCGACACCCGACUCUAGUGAGGAACACGUCCAUCAAUAGAUGGUACCUAAUCUUUGGUUGGGGGAACACGAUACUCGGUUGAUCGAGGUCGUACAUGAAUCAAAUUAAUAUGCAAUUAAAGUGCAGUAUACUAGGAGAAUGACCCUUGGGUCAUCUCUCAAGGACCAAAUGUGGUUCAGGCAAUAGGUCAAACAUGUAGUGGAAGGCGUUAUGUGGACAAUUUUGCUAAUGGAAAAUAACCAAUCAAAGCACAAAAUUAAAAAUAGAUUAAAAUAGGUUGGCAUCUAGAUCAAUUGCAAUGCUUCCAGUCACAAAUUAAGAAUAAUUAAAUGUUACUCUCACCUCUAUUCCAACAUGGAUUAACCAACUAAGCGAAGGUAAUCCAGUCUUCAAAAACGUGAAUUAAGCAAAUACAUUGCACACACUCAAUCAAUUUUACACUAUCACAGAUUAAGGAAUUGUGACUCUAACCAACUAAACGAUGAUUAAACACAAAUUGGGCAACUAAGCAUAUACCCAAUUGUGAGCACAAAACCAAAUUGACAUCAUGCAAGGCAAGAACAACACCAUCAUUUACAAUCCAUAAAUCUCAAGGAUGCAAAGCAAUAUCCCUAAUCAUUAACCCAUACAGAUUCAAGCUACCAUCAAGAUGGAAUACAAACAACAAAACGAAAUUAAAUUGCAAACAAAAUUGGAGGUGUAAACGGAAUUGAAAACAGAAUUGAACAAAACGUAAACUGCAAAAGAAAGGGGCAAAACGAAAUGCAAUGGUAAACGAAAUGCAAGAACAUAAAAUGUAAAUUGAAACAAAAUUAUAUAACGAAAAUGAAAUUGGAAUUAAAGACAAGAUUCAAUACAUAAAAAGGGAAAGGAAAUAGAAAGAACCUAAAACCCCCAAAGAGGGGGGGGGGGUUUGGGAAAGUUAAUGUUCCAAAACUUAAGAUCCAAAAAUGAAAAAUGAGGAAGGAAAGUUCCCAAGUCUGAUUUUGGGGUUUAUAUACCCAAAUUACAAUUCUACAUUUCUAAUGAGCUUCUACAAAAUAUGCCCAAAAAUGGGUCCAAAGCUAACCUAAAAACGAAAUUAAAAAGAAAAGUUGAUGUGGAAAAUAAUAAAUUAUGUGGCUUCCCUCUUUACGUCCCAAUAAUAAUUCCAAAAUUGUCCUGCAAAUAAUAAUUUGAAUAAUUAGGCCCAAAUAAUUCAAAUUAAUUAAAAUAAGAAGUAUUAGUUAAGUUAAGCUCAAAUAGUGAAAAUGAGACAACAAUUGAGAAUUAAACACAACUCACUAAUAGAAUUUGGUGCGAAAAGCUAAGUGAAUAGUACAAAAUAGUGAUUCAUCAUCAGUUUCCGGCCAUCAGUAUUCGUUAAGUAACAUAUUGUUCUUACUCCUUUGGUGUGUAAUGCUUAGUCUUCGAUAGGCAGCUUGACCUUUACAAAGUAUUUGGUAAUCGACAUGUAACCCUUACAAGGCACAAUGUAUUCGAUAUCGGGUAUUCGGUAUGAGGUAUCGGGUAUGUGUUUGAUUAAUCAAUCAUCUUUAGGUCAUAGUUGAUAGGGUCCAAGGGUCUUUGCCCACAUUCACACUACAAGAAAUGUGUUGUUUACCGAAGGCCUAUUAUCGAAGGCCUUUUGGCCGUCGGUAAAAAACAUAUACCGAAGGAUUAUUCCGAUAGUCAUGUAGGAUGGUGUUUACCAAAGGCUUUUGCCCUUCGGUAUUAGGCAACGAAUUUACUGAAGGCUUUUGUUAGUUGGUAUAGGCAUUCACUUAAUGAAACCAGAAUUUGGGAUUUCCCUCUUCCAUUCUCCCAAAAUCCCUAUGAAAGCAAGAUUCCCCUUUUCUGAGUUCCCUUUCCCCUCUCCCCCCACCGUAGUCUUACUCCGUCUCUCGUUUAGAGUAUGAAAGCAACUUGAGCUCCUCAGAUACCGUUGUUUCUCAAUCGUCCAUUAUGGUUCCACCAUCGCCAUUGAUCAUUCUCGAGCUCCUCUCCAUUGUCCAAAAGUGUGUGUGGUUGAAGGACAGAGGCAUUGGCGUGACGCCUUUGAUUGUGAAUGGUGCUUCUCUUAGGGUUUGUUCACGAUGGUCCUUUGGUAGUGUGAGGAGGUGCAUCGCGCUGGGUCAAUGGGUGGUGUCGCGGUUUUGAGCAGAGCUUCGAGUUGGCGAGGGAGGCUAAUCCAGGGGCUGAGUGACGAGUUGGCUUUCUGCGCGUGAGAAGGGCUUCACGAGACAGGCUAUCAGGGGUGUUAAUACACCUAGGGUUGUUGCUGUCAUAGAGGUAAGUUAUUGCUUCAUUCAAUUGCUUCAAAUUAUGUAGGUUUUGGUGGUUGCCCUCUUUCCGAUGCAUGUGUGAGUUAACUUUGUAUGUAUCUAUUGGAAUUAUGAUAGCUCUGGUAUAAAUGAGAAAAGAACACGUUAGAACUUCAGUUCUGUUAUGCUCUGGCCGAACAUGUUAGCUUUAUACCUAUGUAUGUCUGAACUUGAACUUUGAUGAUUGAAUGGGAUUAUAGUUCAUUAAAUGUGUUUGAUGGUAGGAACACCAUAUCAUAUGUAAUUCAUGAAUAAAAGAUUGUGCCUGGUAGAAAUUUGAAGUGGAAUGUUAAUUGACCUUUCCAUUCAGUGCUUAAAUCGUUUAAAAUAUGUUUUAGUGUAUUAGUUUUGAUUUUGGAAAAGAAUUGGAUUAAGUCUGAACCAAAAUGCAUGAUUAAUAGUUUACUAUGCUUCUUUAUGUGGAUAAAUAAUGGAUACUGUGAAUGUUUAAGUCCUUGUUGAUUUUGAAAGUAGCGUGUGAUAUGAUGUGGUAUAUAUCGUUUUAUUUGCUUAACUAUGCAAUUGGAACCUUGAUGGAUCAGUUCUAGAGAGUCAUCUUACGAUCCAUAUUGUCUAUUGAAGUAUGUUUCAUGUGAUUGCUUGUGUUAAGUGACCAAACUGGUUUUACAAGUUGUUUAAGACUAAUUAUUUUAAAACUACAAUUUAGAUGUGUCAUGUAGUAUUUUUUUUCUCCUAGUGGUUGAAACAUAUUAGUAUUAGGAAGUCUGAAAUCAUAAUGAUCUCUUUAUAAGCAAAAUAGUAUUCUUUUGCAGCAAUUGAAAAGCUUAUAAACAUAUAUGCCACUACCACACAAAUUUGAGACAACUACUUAAUCAUUUCUCAUACUAGAAACUAGCAUCCACCUAUAAAACUCUAAAAUGCGACAAGGGUGACAAACCUUUUCUAACUGCAUAAUAACUAGGACAUGAUGUUAACAAGUCAAACAUAAAAGUAUUAUGUAGUUUAACUUUUAAUGACCUGGAUUGGACAUGGUAUGAGAAGGAGGAAAGGAUGUUGUGGCUACAAGUGCAAAUUCCCAACUGCAGAAAGUGAUUUUGCUUUACUAGCACAAGUUUCACCUUAUUUUGACACCUCACUAGGUGUUGUAAAAGUAUUUUGUUUUUCACUCCCUUUCACCCUUAAACCAAGACAAAGGCUAAGCCUAUCUUUCUUAUAAUCAAUGUAAAAGUCUUGCACAAAAAAUGGUGAUCUAUUAGUGCAGAAUGACAACACCCAUUUUAGCCUUAGUUUUUAAGUGUGAUUCUAGUGUCUUUCUCAAGUCUUAUUUGUUGUUUCUGAGUCCAUUUCAGUGUCCAAAAUUCAUUUGACUCUUUGUACCUAAAAUUGGUUGAUGGAGUUGUUUAAUUUGGCACAUAAAUAGGGUUGAAUAAGUGAAUUUAAGAAAUACUACUGUUCAACAUCAAUUAUAUGUGCUCACAAUUUUGUUUCAUUGAUUUAAACGUGUUCAUGCCAAAUAAUUUCAAGUUUUAACAGUCUUGUGUGCUUUCACUCUCCAAACCACUUGUUUUAGACCUUUUUCUGAUAAUAAGUUUUUGGUUUAGUUGCCUAGUUCUGUUAUAUGUAUGGUGCAUAUGUAUUUGUGUGAAUUUGUAGUAAAAGCUUGGUUCAUUUGUGAUAUAUGAAAUAAAGACAACUUAUUUUGGUGCUUUGGGUUGUUGAUGUAGAUUUUACCGUGAGUGGAAAAAGAUUGAAGCAUUUCUUGGAUCAAAAAUUUUCCAGGUAAUUUUAAAUGUCAAAUUUGUGUAGAUGUCAUUGAUGGGAUAAUGAUGAUGAUGACUGGUUUGUGUAUUGUAAAUUUGCAUGAAUGUUGCGAUGACAGUUUUACCAUGUUUUGAUGAACUUUUCAUAAUUGAUUGAUGGUGUAUAUAACUUAUUAUGCAGGUAAAUUGUGUGGUUGGAUUAGUAGUAUUAUUAUGCUUGUGCAUCACUAAAUUGACCCAAGAUUGGUGUUUUUAAAUGUUAAUUUGUGCACAAGUGAUUCUUAAUCUUUGACAAUACUUUCAGUAACUUUAAUUCACCAAAUUAAACUUCUUUGAACACUAAUUUGGUUCAAUAUGAAACUGUAUAACAAAUUCACCCUUCUACUUCCCCAUUUCACUCAAAAAUAAGGUGUGAACAUGCUAUUUUGCACACAGAUGAAUCUAUCUUCAAUUUGAAGAUUGUAACAAGUUUAAAUCAACAUUUAAAACUUGUUUAAACUACCAAAUACCACAAUGUUGGCUAUUGCAGAAUAUUCAUUCUGAUGUUUGCCACAAAAAUGACUCACAAUUUGUUGGUUUAAGACACAAAAUGUCACAGUAGUGGUUGUAGGUCAAAACUAACCACUCCAACAACUUGAUUUAGUCAUUUUAAACUUGUUCAAACUUUGAAUUGGCUCAAAUCCUAACUUUUUAUCAAAAACACCUUGCCACAUCCCAAUUUUGACUCAAAAUUGAUGGUUUAGUAUACUAUUAUGCACUUAGACCAUUAUAUCACUAAUUGAACCCUACUAGGAACUUUUAAACAUCACUUUAGACUUGCUCAAACUGUCACACCGCAUAGAAAUGCUAGCAUCCGAAAUCUGACUUUGUUAUGGCCAAAAUGCAGAAAAAUCACUCCAUCACACCACCAAAACUGAGUUUCUAAGAUUCAAUGGACUAGGCAAUGAGCUAGAGUACAACAGCAGUACUUCUCCAAAGAAGGUAGUAAUUUUUUAUUGUGAAUGGUUUGAUCCUUCUAGAGCUGGUACUAGAGUGGAUCCUAGGUUUAACAUUGUCGAACUCCACUUGAGAAACAGAUAUGGAUCGUUUGAUCCUUUCAUUCUACCAACUAAUGUCAGACAAGUUUAUUAUGUGCCAUAUCCACCAUUCCGCAAUAUUCACAAGCGUGGUUGGGCUGUAGCAAUACAAACCAAGCCUAAAGGUCACAUUGACUCAAAUGAGGUUAAGGAAGAUGUUGCCUACCAAUGUUCACCAUGGAUUGAGCCAUAUGGAAAAGGGUAAGACUUUAAUCCCUUUUUUAACCAUUUUUAUGUUUAAAGAUUGUCUUAUUUGAAAUGACUUUUAUUUCUUUAUAUGCAGGUUUAUUCCAUCCAGGGUUGCUUCCCAGGCCAUCACACGAUCAAUUAAGCAACAGUAUUUGUGUCCAUGGCCUACUUUGGGAGUAAUACCUAAAGAGGAGAGAAAGCCAUUCUAGGAGCGUUUUAAGGUGAACUAGUUUAAACUAAUUGUCCUUCUUAUUUUACUAUGUUCAUUAAUCAAUGUUUGUUUUGUUUAUCAUUACAAAUAAAGGUGCAGUGGAAACCUGAACAUGAAACACAAAUACAUAGAAAUUUCCACAUGAAAGAAUCUCAUCGGCUCUUAGAGAUGUUUAGGGAUGCCCGCAAUGCAGGGGAGCGCCCUUACUGGUUGGGCGAGCACAUUUGGAACUCUUUACUUGCUCAUUGGAAUUCAGCAGAGUUUCGCAACAAGUGUGCUACACCCCAGAGGAACAAAGCAUCUGAAAAGGGUGGCGCCCUGCAUACUGGCGGGUCGAUCACAGUUCAUGAGCAUGUCACUCGUAUGGUAAACUUUCUUUACUUUUCUAUUUCUUUCAUAUAAAGCUUAUGUAUUUUCUCUUUCAUAUACAAUUCUAACUCUAAAUUAUGCUAUAGGCACAAGCUAUGGGAUAGGCAGUCCAUGUUGAUGAGGUUUUUGCACAGACCCAUGUUCGGAAGGGCACUAACGAAUUCAUUGAUGAAAGAUCUCGGAAGACUCAUGUAAGCAAAUAACACUGCUACUAUUAGUAAUCUUUCAUUAUUUUAUUGUAUCAUUCCCUAACAUUGCUUUUAAUGUUUGAACAAGAAGAAUUUUCUACGAGACUUUCACAGGUUAGAUUUGAACAUGGGUCAACUCCUACAUCGGAUGAUGUGACUAAUGCAUAUGACGACAUCCGUAGGACACAUUGUUGGGUUGAUGUCGUUAGUGGGAAGAAAAAGGGACGAGUGUACGAUGUAGGACAACUUGCUACAAACUAUACACCAUCGAGAGGAGGUACAUUAAAGCACCAACCUUCUUCUUCCACCACUUCUGCUGACGAGGCCAUCGAGCGCUUGACACAGCUACUACAACAACGUGACCAGGAAAAUCAUGAAUUGAGAGAAGAAUACAGUGACUUGAGAAACAAGUUUACAAACUUCAAGUCCCUGGUCAUGAGAGUGUUGCCUCAAGCUUCAGACACUCCUUCCACCACCCUUCCGACCCAACCACGACCCUCCCCGUCACCCGUCGUCCCUCAGCAACCCAGAUCAAUCCAGCCCACAUCAGUCCAGCCCACACUAGUUUAGCCAUCUACAGAGGAGCAGGAUGAUGAAGAUCAUUCUGAUGACUAUGUAAAUUUUAGUUUUAUUUUGUUAUUAAUCAUAGUUGUUAGAACAUAUUGAUGUUAGUACAUUAUGAUUUUGCUACAUUAUCUUUACUCAGAAAUGUAUGAUAUUGUUUUAUGUUUCAUAUUUCAUUUAUAGAAAUAACUUCUUAAAUUUGAACAAUACUAAUGAUGUUAUAUAAAUUUAAUUAUUUAAUAAAUUAGAAUAAUUAUUUUACUAUUUUAUAUUUUCAAUAACUGCUAUUUAAAAUUCAAAUAAUUAUGUAUGGUAAAAGAUUAUUUAAUAAUAAAAAAUUAUGCAAAUUGUUUUAUAAUUUAAUAAAUUUUUGCUAGAAUAAAAAUAAGUGUUCCCACUUGUAUUAAUAAGGGUAAAAUUGAGAUUGAAAUGUAUAUAUAAAAUAACGGUUUACAGAAAAGAUUUUCCUUUUAUAAUCAUUAUAGAAGAUUAUUUAUGCUAAUUUUUUUUAUCAUGUUUUUGUUAAUAUUAGAAUAAAUUUAAAUACGUUUUUAAUUUAUUAAUUUUAAAUGAAAAAUAAAAUUAGUUUAUUUUCGAAAACCUAAUUCAAUCUUUACACUUUAUAAAUGUUGCCAUCAAAUUUUUUUUUAUCUAAAUUCUAUUAGUAUUUUUUUAUAACAUUUAAAUUGUUUAAAUAAAUUUUAAAUAAAUUUAACAAUUAAAAAAAUAUAUAUUUAUAAAGUUAAAAAAUUAAAAUAACCCAAAUUUUAAAGGAAAUUAAUUUUAAUUUUCGAUAAAACAUAUUAAAUCCUUAAAGUAAUUAUAACUAUCUUUUAUCUUUUAUAUAGUUAUCUGUUGUAUCAUUUUAAUAAUAUUAAAACUUUUAAUUUGUUUAUUAAUCACCAUUAUUUAUUUAUAAUUUUUAAUAUUUAAUCUUAAAACUAACCUUAUAUUCACAUUAAUUAUCAAUAUUAUUUUUUUAUUUUUUAUUUGUAAGUAGUCAAUAAAAUAAUUAGUAAUUAUUGUUGUUAUUUAUAAUUAUAUUUUAUAACAUUUAUAAUUAUAAAAAAAUUAAUUUGAAUAUUAAUAAUUUUAUAUUUAUAUCAUAAUUAAUUUUAACUUUCCAUUUAUUUAUUACUAUUAUUAUUGUUAUUAUUUAGCUUUAAAUUAACUAAUUAUUAUAUGAAUUAUUAUCAGUUAUAAUUGUAUUUUAUAAUAAUUUUUAUUAUACUUAAAAGUUUAAUAUAAAUAUUAGUAAUUACUAAUUAUAACAUUUAAUAUUUUAAAUACUUUUAUUAAUUCCAUAUUAACGUAACUUUGAAAUAUUUUUACAAAUGAUUGUUAUUAUUAAUUGUAUUUUACAUUAUCUUUGAUGUUAUUCAUAUAUUAAAAAUAUUUUCAAAUAUUCAAUAUAAAUUUUACCAUUUUUAAAAUUCAUACAUGUAAAAUCCCAGAAAAUGGUAUUUUAGGAGUGAGGAUAAUCUACAAAAAGUUCGGUUAUUUUAAUAUUAAACAGUUUUAUUAUAAAUAGUUUUGUUAUAAAUGAGUUUCAUUAUUUUAAAACGUACUAUAUUUGUAGAAACCAUUUUUCUAGAGUUCUCUACCUUCUCUCUAAGUGCUCUUACUCCUAAGUUAUCUAUUUAACGAUCAGGAGGUGCCUAGACGAUCACGACGUCAACAAAUCUAACUGAUCAAUUUAUGUUUUAGAUUAAGUAAGUUUCUACUCAUUUUUAUCUCUUUACUUUGGUCUAUGAUCAUUCAUAGAAAUUGUUUUGCAUGUAUCAUUUAGCCCUUUUUUCUUAUUCUUUGUGGAUUUAGAGCUCUAAGGACUCUGUCUGUUUCCAAUUUGGUAUCUCGUAGGUUCGUCUAGAGUUUUCUUGCAUUUCAAGCGACCGACAGGACAUUUCAAUGGGUUAAGCUGUUAUUUUGAGGUAAGGGAAGUUAUACCUUGUCUUAAUUGUAUUUGUAGUGUAAAUUUAGUAAUUUUAUAAAUUCUAGAUGUUUUAGGAAAAAAUUGGGGUUUGAGUAAAGUUGACGUAUGUUAAAUUUGUGUUUUUAAUGAUAUGGUAUUACUAUGAAUGGUAUGAGGAUGUAUUUGUUGCUGCAUACUGUGUUAUUUGUGUGUGAUGAGGAUAUUCCAUUGUUUGAAACAAAAUUCAAGUGGUUGUAGAGUGUAGUAAUCAAGUUACUUAGAAUUUAAGCUUAAAAGGAAGGGGUCUUUGGUAGUGAAACUUAGAAAUAAGUAUAGAAAUGUUAUGGGAACUGUUUUGGUACUAUCAUGAGAUAAUUUAGAAGUUGUUAAGAGGGUUAUAUGGUUAAAAACUAUAUGAAAUGAAAAGGGGUAGUUUCACUAGUGCAAAAACGCUGUUUAACGUCGGUUAUUUUGGGCUUUUAACGUCUAUUCAUAAACCGACGUCUAAACCGGUGACGUCAAUGGGACGUCCGACAUCCUAACCACAGACGUCUAUAAUGACGUCAUUUAGUGCCCACGAACGACGUAAAUAGACGUCAGCACUGGUUUAAAUGAACGUCUAAAGGCACUAAUUAGACGUCGGGCAAAGCAUUAAUCGACGUCUAAGAGUACAUAUAGACGUCGAACAUGACAAAGACCGACGUCUAAGAGCACAUAUAGACGUCAAACAUGACAAAGACCAACGUCUAAGAGCACAUAUAGACAUCGAUUUUUGCAUUAAUCGACGUCUAAUACAGUGGUUUGUUUUAGUGCAGUUUUGUUCCCGUCUUUGGAUAGCCUAGUAGCACAAUCUCCUUUUGCUAGUUUCCCCCCAAAAAAAAGCUUGCGUCUUUUGAAUUUCUUAUGGUCCCUUCAACCCAAAAUUGAACUUGGGUAGUUGCUUAGUUCCAUUUUUCAUCCGUAAGAGGAAAAAAUCACGGUGAAACGAAAACUAGACAACGACCCAGGGUCGUUUUUGGGUUGAAACGGUCACAAGAAAUUCAAAAAGACGCCGCUAUUCCCUGGAGGCAGCUAGCAAAGGGAGAAUGUGUUACUACGUUAUCCUAAGAAAGGAACAAAACUGCAUUGAAACACAACACAAAGAAAGCAAAUGUUAAUCAGUUGAACCAGAAGAUAAUUGAUGAAAGACUAAACAAACGGUAAGCAUAAACAAAUAACCACGCACCUGGGAUGCAAUGUCGCCAGAGAGAAAAAGAGAGGAGGAAGACGAUAAAGAUAUCACAAACAACAAUAGAAUGCCGCAACAAAAAUAAGACGUGCUGAAAGGGAGAAAAAGAAGAGUGUCGCGAGAGAAAAAGGAGAAGAGGAAGAGGAAGAUAUUAGAAACUGAAUGUCGCGAAGAGUUUGCGGUUUAUUUAAAAUGAAACUGGGCGUCGAUUUCUCCAGAUAGCCGACGUCUAUAUGACUAUAGACGUUAGUUCUGUUACUAAUUCGACGUCCAAGUUAACUUUUCAACUGACCUUUUGAAUCCCAUUAGACGUCGGUGACAAUGGGAACCGACGUUUGGGAAGUUGAAACGAUUGACAUUUGAUUUCCUGUCAGGGAUGUUGACGACAGUUGUGAUGGGGCACCAACGUCUAUAAUGAUGCACAUCAUUACUUACAAGCACAUAGACAUCGGUGCCCCUUCUAGCCAACAUCUAUGACCCUCGAAUUUGGUGAAUCUAAUUAAUUACAGGCACUUAGACGUCGCGUGCACAGAUCCCCGACGUCUAAAUUGAAGAUUUUUUAUCUUUCCCGCCUUCCAUAUUCAGGGCUUAGACGUCGCCUGUUGACUAAGCGACGUCUAAGCGUUUGGGAAUUAGGUGAAAGCAUUAAUUGCAGGCCUAUAGAGGUCAGCCCCCGUGAACACCGACAUCAAGGGAUUGUCUUUUGACCUACCUCAGGCCAUUAGACGUCUGUUUGAAGCAGUUUGGACGUCUACAAUAUUAUAGACGUUGCGUUUUCUGGAAACCGACGUCUACGUUACCAAGCUAUUUACGAUAAUGCCACCGUCCACUCAGAUACGUCGGAUUAUCAGCAAACCGACAUCUAUUGGGUGACGUUAAACAACGUUUUUGCACUAGUGUUUAUAGGGGCUGUUUUCAAGUACUUUUGGUGUAAAAAGAGAGUGUUGAGUAGUGAAAUGGUGAGGUAAGAGGUUUGCACUAUUUUGGAAGGUUAGGGGUAUGUUAUCACACUUAUUAGGACUUUUCUAGGUGCUUAAACCAGUAAAACAUGUUCUGAAAUGGAAAAUGGCUUCAUAGGUUGAGUUUUAGCACAUUUUAGGGGUUCUAAGGGGUGAAAAUGAGAAGUAGGUCUGUUGGGAGUAUUAUGUGAUUUUGGAGAGUCCUAGCAAGUGCAAUUGGACUUGUUUAUGCAGGUUGCAAACUAGAUUGAGAGCUUAAAAGGAUAGAAAUGAAAUUGGGUAGCUUGUAGGAGUAAAAAGUGAGUUUUUAAGUGUCAAAGUGAGUGACAACAGGGUUCUCUAAGUUUUCUCAACUUCUGGAAGGUCUUAGGGGACUUUAGAAGUUGAGGGUAGGGUCUCCAAGGUCCAAUUCAAAGUGGUUUUGCUACUGUCAUGGUGUUGGGCACCCUUGUGGGGGCGCUGGGCGCCACUUGACUGCACUACAAUAGUUUUGGGAGGUUUUUAGGGUUCUAGAUGUCCGUUUUGGAUGUUCUUUAAGUCGUUUUGGACCCUUCCAGAGCUGUUAGCGAGAGUUUCAGAGUUGUUUUCCUUACCUAAAUAUGAGUAUCAAGAUGCCAUGAAUAAAUUGUGUUAUUAGGUGAUUUUUGUUGACUUGCAUGGUUGUUUCUAUUUCUUUAAUGCAUGAUCAGUAGUCUCAUGUAUUGGUGUACUAUGUGAAUGUGAAGUGAUAUCAAUGGUUUCAAAGUUAUGAAGGUUAGUUCCAAGGUGGAAUUUCUUGGUGUGGUUUCAAGUGUGUUAGAAUGAAUGUAGGUAGCUUAGUCUUGGGGGUUAUCCUGAAACUCUAAUGGUCUUUCAUUCUCAAGUAGAGAGGUUUAACACAUGUGGUGAGAGUAGCAAGAGAUCUUAAUCGUGGGUGCUUCCAGUAUGAUCCAAGGCGUGGAACAAACUAACCUUGUGAGUGUGGUAAGGUGAAACCCAUUGGCAAUGACUUUGCAAAGCAGUAGAGGCCACCAUAAAUGGAUAACCCGCCAUGGCUCGACAUUCAUUCUAAGUUCGGAUAAUUGAUUUAGGUUAAGAUGUUUGGAUUGGAUUAAAUUACAUAUGACUCUUAUAUGAAAUGUUUUCAAACUUAUGAUGUAUUGUUUUGUAUCUAGUUUACCCUUGUUUUUGUGUUAUUUGUCUGUGUGUUGUGUUCUCUUUACGAUGAUCACCAUUAUGGUGUGAGUUUAGCGAUACAGUCUUUUCAGUUGACUCAGCGUGAGAUUGGGAGUGAAACAACAGUAGAGAUAGUUUCUUUUUGUUCUCUAGGUGAAAAAUUUUCUUCAUCACAAAUCUAUAGUUCUUGUUCUAUAAUCAUAUAUAGAUUUAUUUUAGUAGUUUUAUACUAUUAAAAUGAAAGGUUACAAAUACGUGUUUUCUUAGUUUUUAAAAAAUAUAUUAGAUAUAAUAUUUAAUAGUAUUUAUAUAUUAGUAUAUUAUAUAAAAAUAGAAGCCUUAAGUUUUAUUAAUUAAAUAUUAUAUUAUCAAUGGACAAUUCUUCGAUAAAAACAAGUGUUUUCGUUUUUUUAUUAUAGGAAAAAUUUAUUAAAUUUUAAAAGAAUUUUUAUUAAAAUUAUUAACAAAAUAAAUAAAUUAUAUAAUUUUUUUUGUUAUAUAAGUAAUCAUUUAAAUUUGAAAAAAUAGUUAUUACAGAAAUAAAAUUAAAAAUUUAUUUUUUCGUACGAGUAAUUAUCUGAAAUGGUUAUUAGAAGAUAAAAUUGAAAUAGAAAAUGUGAAAAAAAAAUCAAUGAAUAUAAGCAAAAAAGAUCACUUGAGUGAAUUUUUGAAGAUAUUUUUUUUUUAUUUAUUUAAAUAGAUUUGGAGAUAAAUGAAAUUGAAUUUGAAAAUAUAUUAUUUUAAUUUGUGAUUUAAAUUAAUUUAAUAUUAAUUCUCACAAAUUAACUAUAUUUUUAAAUUCACUCUUAUUUAUCUUUAAAUUUACUCAAAUAAAUAAAAAAAAAAUUAUUUUUAAAUUUUUUUAAAUUCAUUUAAUUACUCUCUUUACAACAUGUUAUAAAAAUUAAUUUAUAAGUAAGUAAAACUAAAAAUGAAGGUAAUGUAUUCGGCCUUUACCCGAAUUAAUUAAUUAUUUAUUAAAAAAAUCUACCGUUUGGAUAACGAGUAAAUCACUCAAUCCUCAUUUAAAAAAUGUUUCUUUUUUAAAUGGCCAGGUUCCUUGAGUUGGAUAUGGCGUGAUGGUGAUUGAACAAACAACUUUGGGAGACAACAGUGACUCUGUUGAUUAGCUUUGUUCUCUUCUCAUUGCAAUUUGAAGCACAACCAAUUUUCUCAGUCAAUGCCGACAAGCGACUUCUUGAUCUUUGUUCGGUAACCCUCCUCUUCUCCAAUCUCAGUGAUUGCCAAAGAAGAUAACUUUUGGUCAAAAUAAACAUGACCCACCAAAAAGUUUUGAUUUUGUUCGUAGUUAGAAAAUGGGGUUGUCAUUUUAAAUUUCGGUCGCUGUGUUCUUGUAGUCUUUGUGCUGCUGAAGCGUUGCACUCUGGAAGUAGUAUUUUGAGGUGAACAACAUGAGCCAGUCGUUCUAAGUCUAAUUGAUGUUGAUUUUGUAGUGUCCUCACUUUUCUUCACUCUUUAAUUGUGUUUUGGUUUUGCACUACUUGUUAGAUAGAGAUUUAAAAUGAAACUAACUUUUAUGCACAUGUUGGAAUGAGGGGAUUCCUCUAUUCAUAUUCCGCUGCCGUCCUACCAAAGAAAUAGGAAAUAUUUUAAGACACCCUUCAAAUAUUUGGGAAAACGAAAUUAAAAUCUGAGUAGAGGGGCCAAAGUUUUGUUGUUUUAUCUAAGUUACUUGUACCUUUGUCGUGAUAAAGAAUAUAUAAAAUAUGUGAUCAUGAUGAUUGCGAAUGCUAUUGUUUUCUCCCAACCUUUCUUUUAACCCUUGUAUCCAGAGGAACCAUAGUUUCUAGGAAGAAUAAAUGCUUAUUUACCUUGGUUUUUAACCUACCCAAUCCUAGUUUCUGAAGAUAGCUUUGAAGUUAUUGUCUCUCUUUCAUUUGUCCUAUUCAGAAAAUAUCGGUACCAAGAUGCAACGUUUUGUAGGUGUAAAUAUAACUUUCCCCACAAGUAUGGUCACUGUAUUCAGUUUCAUACUACUUUAUCCUUGAUUAUUGCUAGUUGUGUUUUAGCUAGUCGUAUAUGAAAAGGUGUCAUGCAUUAUUGUCUGGAGGAUCUUGUUAUAUUGAGAUACUUUAAUGUUCAUGGUCACACGAAGAAAGCUUUGAAAGUUAGAACAAUGUUUUGGAAAACUCCGUCUGUGGAUUUUUUUUAAAUGCAACAUUGAUGGUGCAGCUAGAGGGGCUCGUGAUCUGAUUGCUUGUAGUAGUAUUUUCCAUGACGGUACAAGUGAAUACAUUGGUGUUUUUGCUUCCUUCAUUGGUGUGGCUGUUGCUUUGCAAGCUAAACUGAUGGGUGCUAUUAUUUGUAUUGAGAUUGAGUUUGUUAGAGGGUGGACUUUUUUGUGAUUGGAAUGUGAUUUCACUCUUGUGAUUGUUGCUUUCAAGAACACCUCUGUUGUGUCGUGGUCCAUUAGGGUAGAUGGAAUUGUUGUGUUGCUAUGUGCAGAAUUAUCAACUUUUAUGGUGUCAAACAUCUUUAGAGAAGGAAAUAAAUGUGUUGAAUUGAAAAUACUGAAAUUUAUGAGGGACUUGAAUUGAAACUUAAUCAAGCCAAACAAUUAUAACUUUCCUCAAAUGCUUGAUGCUCUCAACUACAGAUUUAGUACUUGAAAGACUGAAAAUUGAAUAUUUUUUUUUUUCUCUAAACUAACUUAGAUUACUGGUUUUGGCUUCAAAGAAAGCUUGUGAUGUUGUAAUUAUGAUGCCUAAUGCAGGAUGUUAUAAAAGAAAUAGCAAUAUCUUGAUGAUCUUUAUUUGAUGGCUAAAGUUUGAAUAGCUUGGAAGUCUGAACAGAGUGUUGCCCAUUUGUUAUGGUAACAUAGAACGCUAUGGAAGCACUUCAUGAUAAGAAAUUAAUUGAAUAUGAAGAAAUCAUUCUCGUUAAUUUUUGUUUAUGUGAAAUCAAGAAGAUUUACAUGCAAGAAUAAAGGUGUAAAAGGGAAAUAGCAGUGCUGCUGUAUCAACUCCCUGAGGUUACAUGGCUAUGAAAAAGCACAUGCACAGCUAGCUGUAAAAUGUGAAUAAAUACUCAUAUUACCUGCCUUCAAGCGGAUGGUUGGUCAAGAUCAACCAUACCGAGCUUGGUAUGGAGUUUGCUGAAAGCAGUAAGUAAGACGGCCGUAGUGAAAGGAGCAAGUACAAGAACCUUAGUGAAAAGAUCAGCUGCUUGAUCUUUUACAGAAGUAUGCAGCUACUGCAUAAGGCCAGAUGACAAUUCUCCCACACAAUGACAGCUAGUUGUGAAUGGCACACGUAUUUUGAUUCAGUAUUUCUAGUGUAGUUGUUUAAUGUUGUGUAAAUUAUAGUAGUAGUGAAUUUGCUCAAUAUUCAAAGAAAAUUUGCAGCUUCGUUGAUAGAAUUGUAUCGUAGCUUGGUUGGUCAUGUAAUUAUGUUCUGUUAAGCUACCAUUUAUUUUUAAAAUGUCAUCGCUUCUCAGAAAAGUGACAAUUGCUUAACCAAAAUUAACUAAUCUAAACGUGAACUUGAGACAUUCAGCCGAAUUUACAAUUCCCCAUAUGGUAAUAAGAAUAAACUAAAUGAUGUAGCUGGCUGAAGGAGAAAUACUUUAAAUUUCAAUUUGAUAACUUGUAGUGAUAAUGUACACUUGCUAGUUUACCAUGUUGAAUAUGCAACACAGCAUCGGACUGCUUAGUAUUGUUUUGGUAAUAAAAGAAACUAUUGUAACCUUAUUCUUAUCGUUGUCCUUUUUCUUCCAUUUCGGGGAAAAAUAUCACUAACUUAUGCUGUAUUCUUUAUUUUUUGCAUUUUGAAUAUGUUAUAUAUCCUACUUGUGCUUGUUCCUUUACCCUCUUCCCAAUUAAAAUAUGUUGUUGCAUUGAUUAAGAAAACAGUCUCCUUAGAUUUUGAAUAUGUUAUCCUACUUGUGCUUGUUCCUUCAUAUAAUUGAUGGCAUUCUUUCUCUUGAUAUAUGGUAUCUUAUUAUAAUUAAGUUUUUCUAAAAUGGAAGGACAAUUUAAUGAAACUAGAUAGAUUACACUAUUCUAAUAUAUCAAUUAUCAUAUCAUAGCAAGAGAAGCUCAUAAUCCCUCGUAGCUUUGGGGCAGUAAUCCAGGAAGUUGAGCUGAAAGCUAUUACCUAGGAAACAAAAUUUGUAUUAUUUUAUUUUGGUGAUGCUUAUUAAUGAUACUACUUAUUCUCAAUUUUGUACAAUGAAAGUAUGACUGCAUUCUGAAUUCAAAGAUAUUAAGCAUUCUACCAAAAUGCUGGUAGGAAUGUGGUAAUACAGUAGUGAUGAUGGUGUUAACAAAGUAUGUUGAGUGAUGGUGGUAGGGUAGUGGUGAUAAUGAUGGGAAUGGUACAGAUGUUGGUGAUGAUCAAUUACAGAACAGCACUACUUCCCCUUCCCCCCAAAUGCAUGUUGGCCAUGCUCAACUUCAAAGAGAGUGAGGGCAUGAACAGUACAACUUACGAGUUUAAUUUUGUCUAUUGUCCGUUUCAUUUUUUCUUGGUAAUUAAAAUAUAGAAAUAACUUCCUUUAUAGAUUUGUUAUGUUCUUCAUUUUGAGAAAAAACGGUGAUGACAUAAAUUCACCUGUAUUGUUACUUUAUAUUUAGUCUCGAUCUUCAGUUUUGUGUUUCUUCUUGUAUUUCUUGUUUAAUUAUCACUUUGACUUAGGCAAAUGAUAGUUUGCUCAACUAUGAGAUUGGAUUGAAUACAUGCAACAUUUGGGUUCUUUGAUAUGAAUACUUUUGUUUAGACUGUGCAUCCUUAAUAAUGGUCAUAAUGUUUAGAAUCUAUUAAAUAUAUCAGAUAUCUUAUAUAAAUAUCUUAUCUUUAUCUUUUAUUUUUAAUUAGUUUGUUAUUUAUAUUUUGGGUUUAGUUUAUAUCUCUUUUAUUAUAAAUACAAUAUUUUAUAUGUAUGGAGAUUAAUUUUAUACUUAAUUUUUAAACAAAUAUAAACAUGUAAGAAAUGUUCCUUCAUGCAUUAAUGCUGUCCUUUGAAAGUAUUGACUAGCUUUCUCUGUAGUGAUGGUGAUAACAAAGAUUGGUGUAAUGGUACUGAUGCCCUUAUGCUAUAGUUGCAGUAAGAGCAUUCAUCUUUACUCCCUCAUGGUUGGAAAUUAACCAAGCUCAGUAAGAGUACCAAAGUAGGUGGAACAUUACCUCGUUAAGUUCUGUAUCAAACAGUAUGGCUUCACAUCUGACCAUCCCCCUUCCUGAUUUAUCUUUAUUGGACCCGCAUCACCAUGGCUCGGGAUAUUGGUUGAAACCAGUCAAUGAAAUAAACCUUCCUAUCUAAAUUGUAUUUUCAUUCUCAUAAACAGGAAAUCAUAAAUUGUAUCCUCACAUUCGGUCUCCUCAUUUUUAUCCCAAGUUAGAUCUUUUCUUUCCACCUAUACCAUUUCUCACAUCUAGUCUUGUUUAAGUAUACUACUUCAAAAUUAUAUUGGAUGUGUCAGACUAAGAACAUGUGUUGUGGGUCUUGCUGGUUUGAGAAGUAUUUUAGUGUAUAUGUUUUAAAUUUAGAGUGGCAAUGCUGUUCUUCAUGUCACCGUGCAUACUCAACAGUCACCAUUGGUUAUAUCAGGGUGAAAAUGAUAAUUUUGUUUAUAUACGUUAUAUAAAUCAAUCAAUUCACAGCUUUCAAAGAAUCUCUUAUUCUAUUUUCACUAAUUUCUAUCUACCAAACAACUAUACAUUUAAUUUUAUUUCUUGUCUAUUUCUCUUCAUUCAACUUAUUUCAAUUCUGUUUUUUUUUUCUCUGAAUGAAACAAAGCAUAGUUAGGUUAUUCUUAAUGGAUGACGUGGAGUUGCUAUCUGGGUAUACUAAGAUCAACUAACUAACUGGGUGCAGAAACCAGCACCUCAAAUGGCUUAUCUGGAACUGCUGGCAUACUAAAAUUGGAUGGUGGAUUAUAAUUAAUAAGCCCAUGUACAAUUGAUGAAUGGUAGUAUGUGACGAGGAAAGUGUGUUAUAAUUAGGUAAAGACAAUAAAGAAAAAUAUCUCUUUAUUUACUCUUCCUACUUCAUUCUUCUAAUCAAAAUCUCAACGGUUUAUUGAAUGAAACUGUUCUGGGAGCUUGUGUUCAGAAUUUAAGAAGGUUGUUGAAAUUGAAAAAUUGGUCUAAGUUUUGAAAUGUAAUGCUAUACGUAGGACUCUGGGGUACAAUGUCAGAAAUUAACCUGCUUGUUUAUUCAUUUACCACUCCACUCAAAGCAAUUAUACAUUCAGUUCCACACUUAGUUUAUUAUCAUAGCUAUACCUUUUUUCUUGUCUAGCUUGAUUGGUGCAAUUGUUAAGUAUCACAUUCUUAACGAUCUUAUAUAUAUUUCCUACAUUGAAUGACACGAUGCUUGUUGUUGUUGAAAAAAAUAAUAAUAUAAGGAGUAUAUCUCUUUUGCUUGUAAGUUGUGAUAUUCACCGUCUCUGUCUCUCUCUGCACUCAUUGGGAAAAUUUUAAUGAUAGAAAUCAAACAUUUUUAAGUUAAACAAACACAUGUAUAAUUCAGAUUACAAUAACUUCAUGUUUGGCAGCUCCAUUAAAUGUUAAAGCUGCAGAAGCACAGAACAGCUUAGUACGUGGAUUUGAUUCUAUAUGGUAAUAAUAGCUAGGAUUGAAUGCUAUCUUCACUAUUGAAUAUACAAAAGCUUUGGCGGGAGAGAGUCAUUCUGUGAUGACCCUUUACAAAAGAACAUGACAAACUUCAAGUUGCAGAAAGUGUAGUGCGAAUUUGUGUGCAUGAUUAUACAAAAUUUAGAAGGAGAAAUGAGGAAAAAAAAGAUGAAGAAAAGGCGUCCCUAUCAGCACCUCCCAAUAUUUUCGCUGUUGAGAAAAUCUUGACUACGAUGGUUGAGAAACUUUUGUAGAUAUGGUCCAGUAUGUAGGUCUGUUUCAUUUGACAAUUUUGUCCCGGAAAGUCAGCAAAUACUACGCAACCUCACAUUACUGUGCAUGAUGUCAGUGACGUGAGGAAUUUUACAAGUGAUGCACAAAAAUCCCUAUAUCAAAAGAUUCUACUACCGUAGCGGCAAGAAACUUUGGUCGGCAGUUCUCACUCUGUUACUUUUCAACUUGCCUCUUUUCUUUGCACAAUUUGAGAGAUACCACACACGCUUCUUGAAUCCAAUGUCUUAACACCAUAUCCAAAGUAUCCCUACUUUACACUGUUUCUUAUGAAAUGUGUCUGUCAUGCAUAAUCCUUGUUCCUUGUAACAAACACAAGUGUUACCAUAAAACCUGUUUUUUGGAACAUGUGUAUUAUAAUAUGAUCCUACUUUAACUUAAUGCAAUAACUAUGCGCAUUAAAGUUUUCUCUUCAAUAUUUCUAUUCUAACUUACUUUUGAAUUAAUGAUCCAAAGAUAUAAAACCAUGCAGAGUUUUAUACUUGUAAAACUUCUUAUUUUAUACUAUAUUUCAUUCUAUAAUAACAUGAGCAUUUUCUAAUCAAUACACGGAAGGUUUAACAUACACAUAUAUAAUUGUUCAUUUUAGAUUAAGUUAUCACAAAUUUUUUAUCAAUAGAAGUAUCUUAUGUGUAUAUAAAUCUAUAUUCAUCUUUUAUUUUAUCUGAUAUAAAACUUUAUUUGUACCUAACAACAACGUGAUAUGGUUCAAAUGUGACGAGAGUUUAAUUCGUAAAUAAAAAGUAUAUAUAUUUGUUAAAAGUGUCAAUCUUUGAUAAAAAUUGGAUGACAGCAUCCCAAGGAUACUAUACUCUAGUACGAUCGAUGACAAAGCUGCGGUAUUAUAUGCUCACCUCAUUUAUCAAAUAACUAUAAGAGGGUUAUUUAUUAAAUGUUCAUAAAAAGAUAAGAAUUAAUAUGAAACAAACCAUUUAAAAAAAAAAGAAAAUGAAGGUGGUCCAGCACCACUUGCAAGGAGAAUGGGAUUCAAUGUGAAAGAAGUUGAUGGGAUUUCCAGGUUUUUGGCCAAUAAUAUUCCCAUAUGUUAUAGUAAAUAUUUAGUUAGGAAGUUUAUAUAUGUAUAUAAGAAGGAAAAGGAUUGUGAUAUAGUAGAGAUGGUUAUUUAAAAAUGGGUAACAGAGCGUGGGCAUUAUUGGGAAGAAUCUUAUUCUGAAUGCAGGGGUUGCGUUAUCUGAGCUUGCGGGAGAAUGAUAUAAGAAUAUUUUGUGCCUUAAUCCUUUGAGCUACUUGACCAACACCAAGUUUUCCCUUUUGUGCCUUGUUCGCUUCACUAAGUCACAAAAGCCAAGUUUUAUAAUUCAAAUAUUCUCAUCAUCAUCAUCAUGUCGAAUACUUAUUAACAGACAUAGACAGAUCUUAAUUAAUUUUUCUGGGACUAAAGGGGCCAUCAAUCAUUAUAACUAACAUGGAUUUUUUUAAGUAAACCAUUUUAAAACAAUAAUUAAAAUCUAGUUUUAUUCCUUGGAAGAUGUUCAAAUAUCGAUUUUCCUUAUCACUUUCACCAAGAAGAAUAAUGUUGUCCUCCUUAACGUGAAAGGAAGAAUUUCAUAAAUGGAGCAUUGAGUUCUAUGGAAAGAAGGAUGCGAAUCAAAUCCAUGUGCAGAUGCUUCAAAAACUUAGGCACUACCAUCCUUGUUGUGAGGCUUGUAUGCUUGCUUGCUUACCCAUACAUAGGGUAUCGCUUAUUGUUUUUUCAUAAAGGUUGUGAUUAGAUAAUAGAGAACAUCUUUCCUACUUUGUUUGGAUGCCCCUUUGGAUUAUUGUUACGAUCCUCAAAAAAAUCAUUUCCCUUUUGAUUGAUAAUCCUAAGCAACAGUCAACGUUAUUCGGGCUGAUAACUAUUCUGAAUUUGACAAAAAUGAAAUAAAUAAUAAACAGUUGCUUCUUAUUAAGUAAAUUUAUGAGCCCAUAUACAUACAUCAGAAAGAUGGUGCCUAUGGGGCGUCACAAUUGAAAUCUUACAAAAGAUUUUUGGAGCAACUUAAAACCUAACUAAGUAUGCAUAUGCAGUUUCAGUUUGACUAGGGGGUCCCAGGAGAGGGAGGACCAGUCUCAGUGCCACCACACUCCACUGUGAAAUCAAUGACAUCCAUAGCUUCUUCAAUAUUGCUCCUGUUUGACACUCUUGCUUUCUUUGUUGCCCUCUUUGAAGUUUUCCUCUCGAAUAUGCGGCACACAGCCAAGGCUGACAUCUACGUUACACAUCAAACAUAAAAGUUAAAUGAGAAAGAAAUCCGAAAGGUGGUGGUGGUGGAUGGAUACUGUUGUAUAUAUUGUUUACCUUUGAUGGAUUUGACUUUAGGGCAAGACGAAACUCAUGCAUCACCCAUUUUGUUUUGGCAAGAGAGCUACCCUUGGCUUUCCAGAAAACCAGAACACUCUUCUUUCCAAUCACUUUUUCGUCAGAUAACUCAACCUCUUCAUCUUUCUCCACCAUUUCCCAUUGCCCUUUCCCAGCAUCGCUCUUGUCAGGGUUUCCUGACACACGGCUCCUCACAUCGUAGAAGAAAAACUUCUGCCAAUUCAUGUACUUCCCACCUACAAAUAAACAAACACACAUUUCUUUAGAUCACUCCGGGGCUUCCAAAAAUCGGAUCUUUUUCGGACACAUUGUCCACUGACAAGAAUCACCAAAGAAAAUCUUGAAAGAGAAAGAGAAAAGAUCUGAGAUUAAAAAAGCAAAGAAAGAAGGGUGAACCUCCUGGGAGGUCCCAAGGCUGAGUCUGGAAAACAUGAUAGUCUUGGAUGAGGUCAUUGGGGAGUGUUUGUGCCAUGAUCCUCUUCCUGAGGUAGUAGCCUGCAAGAAUUUCAUCGGUGGGGUCGAACAAGUAGCCAACAGGGAGCUUAUAGGUCUUGCCUCCAAGUGGGACUAACACUUCCAUGGCCUUGGAUAGAUGAAGGAACUUGUGAUCAAAGAAAUCAAUUUAUAGAUGUGAAGACAUGCAGUGUGGUGGAUGUCUUUGACUAAGAGAGAGAAAAACCACAUACAUGCUUACAAAUCUUCCCUUCUAUUUGACUUUCGAACGAAUGGACCAUUUUCCUAUGUUCUUUUAUUUUAUUUAUUAAGUUUUUAAAAAAAAAGUACAGGAAAUUAAAUUAUUUUGGAUUUAGUAUUAAUUAUUUUUUAAAAAGAUGCACUCUGUACAAGUUACAACUAAUGUAGUACUGUACUGUAGGUGACGUGAGUGAAUGAGUAACUUUGUUUGAUUUCAGUCAAUUGACUAUGGCUCAAAAUGUGUGACACCUUUGAAAUGGCAGUUUUCGUUUAUACAAAUUUAAUAUUUUCACAUCUUUAACGUGUCUUUCGAUUAAAAACAUGUGUUUGAGUGAAAAAUAAGACUCUUAAAUUGAGUGUAAAAUCAAUCAAUGAAAACAUUUGUAUAGGUUUGCGUGGAAAAUAAGAUUCUUUGAAUUAAAAGAAAUUGAAUGAAAAUAUUUAUAGAUCAUUUAAUAGAUGUAAUAAAAUUUUUUAAUAAAUAAUAUUAUAAGAUUAUAAUUUUAUAGUUAGACAUGUAGUUAAAAUGUUAUUCCCAUUACAAUGGGUGAAUUCAAUUGAAAGAAAAUUACGAAUUAUAAUAUUGUUGAUACGAGAAAACAUUGUUAAAAAAAUUAUAAAAUUUGAAUAAAAAUAAUUAUAAAAUAUUUAAGCAAGUUUUUAAUUUUUUUUUGUAAAACUUAAAAAAUAUGCCAAAUUUAUGUAAAAGUUUAGCAUGUAAUUAAUAUUAAACCUUAAUUAGGUUUUAAGUAAGUCAUAAAUUUAGAUAUAUUUACUUAACUCUAAUAAAUGUUUAUUAUUUAUUGAGUACUAAGAAAAUUCAUACUUUUUAAUUGAAUUUAAUUUUUUUCUCUUAAUUAGAUGGUGUGGAUGUUAUUAUAUAUAUAAUCUUCCUUAAUAGUUGUCAAGUGUUAUUUUAUAAGUUAACAAAACAAAUACAACAUAAAAGAAAGUCUACAACAUGAAAGAGAAUACAUUUACUUCACCUCCAUUUGUAAUAUAACAAUGUGUGUUAAAUUUAAAACUUAAAAAAAUACAAUUAACGUGAUUAAAAUAUUAUUAUUUUGAAUUAUUAAAUAAGAGUAUUUUAUUGAGUAAGAUAUCACAUACUUGUUUGUUACUCUAAUAGGCAACUAUCAAGACUAGAGAUGAAACCUAAGUCAUGAUAACAAAAAUAUAUAUUAAUUUUAUCAAUAUUAAUAAAAGUAAUUGUGAAAUUAAAAAUAUAUUAAAAAACUAUAAAAGGAAAAAGUAUUCAAGAUUAAAAAUACCUCAAAUGCCUCGACUUUUUUUAACUUUUAAUGAAAUCUCAUUUUUUUUAUGUACUAAUAAAUAUUAUGAUGGAAUAAUUUGCACAAAAAUAAUAAUAAUUUAGAUUUGGAUAUAAUUUUUGAUAUUUUGAACUUUAAUUUAUGUUGAAUGGCAUAAAAAAGAAUUCAUUAAAGUGAUAUUAAAUUAUUAUUUUAUAAUAAAUAAAAUGUAUUUAUACUAACGUAAUUGAUAACAUUGUCAUUGACGAGAUCAAAUUAAUACUACUAAAUUAUAACAACUUCAGUAUUGUGUAGUUAACAAAAUAGAGAGGUAAGUUCAAUCAUAAGUCGUUUUCCAACAAACACAAAAUUGAUUAUUAAUAAAUUAAUUUAUAUAAAAACUAUAAAAAGGGUUAGUAAAACAAAAACAAUAAAGAAGAUAAAUAUCAAUAACAGAUUAAAGAACAAAAUAAUAAAAGAUAGAAAGAAAUAAAGUUAUUAAAAGAUUUAAAAAGAUAAAAAUAAUGAUAAAAAAAAGGUUGAUUUCACUAUUUUUUCAAAAUCGGAUUCAUCGUUGGUUAUCUGAAGAUUAUUGUUCAAAUAAUUAUUGUCUUUUUUCAAUUAAGUUUUUUGGCAUUCUCACUCUUAACCAAAGUACAUUAAGAACUUUAUAGAUUAAUCAUAGUAAACUUAACCCAAGUACAUUCUCAAUAUUAAAUAUUACUACGCCUAAUCAUGUUUAUUCUUUUAUCUCUUAUAUCAAGUAAAAUGUUAAUUAACGAAAGUACAUUCUUGAUUAAUUCUUGUUAAAGUUUUUAUCACUAAUUAACGUACAUUCUCAAUUAUUAACAAAAACCAAUUUAAUCACAUAAAAGUUUCUAACAUUAAUCCAAGUAAAUUCUCAAUUAAAUAGGUUUAAUGAUUCUGAUAGUUCCUAUUUUCGGUGAUUUUUUUCAAUUAGGUCCCUCAUUUUUUCUUUUUCUCAAUUGGGUCCCUAUUUUUGAAAAAUUGAAGCAAUUAGGUCACUGUCGUUAGUUCGGUACUAACACCAUUAAAAAGGGUGGCACGUGUCAGCUCGUGAUUUUUUUGAAUUUUUUAAAUAUAUUUUUAAUUUUUUUUAUUUUUAUUUUUAAUUUUUAAUUUUUUUUUUAAAAUUGCCACGUGUCAAGUUGACAUUGAGCCACAUGGCAAUGACAAUGUGAGGUGGCACUAAUAGUGCCACGUGUCACUAUCAAAUCAUGUGUCAUUAGAUUUGUCUCAAUUUGGUCCCUAUAUAUUUAAUUUGUCUCAAUUUGGUCCCUGUAUUCUUAUUUUGUCUUAAUUUAGUCCUAUUUUUUNNNNNNNNNNNNNNNNNNNNNNNNNNNNNNNNNNNNNNNNNNNNNNNNNNNNNNNNNNNNNNNNNNNNNNNNNNNNNNNNNNNNNNNNNNNNNNNNNNNNNNNNNNNNNNNNNNNNNNNNNNNNNNNNNNNNNNNNNNNNNNNNNNNNNNNNNNNNNNNNNNNNNNNNNNNNNNNNNNNNNNNNNNNNNNNNNNNNNNNNNNNNNNNNNNNNNNNNNNNNNNNNNNNNNNNNNNNNNNNNNNNNNNNNNNNNNNNNNNNNNNNNNNNNNNNNNNNNNNNNNNNNNNNNNNNNNNNNNNNNNNNNNNNNNNNNNNNNNNNNNNNNNNNNNNNNNNNNNNNNNNNNNNNNNNNNNNNNNNNNNNNNNNNNNNNNNNNNNNNNNNNNNNNNNNNNNNNNNNNNNNNNNNNNNNNNNNNNNNNNNNNNNNNNNNNNNNNNNNNNNNNNNNNNNNNNNNNNNNNNNNNNNNNNNNNNNNNNNNNNNNNNNNNNNNNNNNNNNNNNNNNNNNNNNNNNNNNNNNNNNNNNNNNNNNNNNNNNNNNNNNNNNNNNNNNNNNNNNNNNNNNNNNNNNNNNNNNNNNNNNNNNNNNNNNNNNNNNNNNNNNNNNNNNNNNNNNNNNNNNNNNNNNNNNNNNNNNNNNNNNNNNNNNNNNNNNNNNNNNNNNNNNNNNNNNNNNNNNNNNNNNNNNNNNNNNNNNNNNNNNNNNNNNNNNNNNNNNNNNNNNNNNNNNNNNNNNNNNNNNNNNNNNNNNNNNNNNNNNNNNNNNNNNNNNNNNNNNNNNNNNNNNNNNNNNNNNNNNNNNNNNNNNNNNNNNNNNNNNNNNNNNNNNNNNNNNNNNNNNNNNNNNNNNNNNNNNNNNNNNNNNNNNNNNNNNNNNNNNNNNNNNNNNNNNNNNNNNNNNNNNNNNNNNNNNNNNNNNNNNNNNNNNNNNNNNNNNNNNNNNNNNNNNNNNNNNNNNNNNNNNNNNNNNNNNNNNNNNNNNNNNNNNNNNNNNNNNNNNNNNNNNNNNNNNNNNNNNNNNNNNNNNNNNNNNNNNNNNNNNNNNNNNNNNNNNNNNNNNNNNNNNNNNNNNNNNNNNNNNNNNNNNNNNNNNNNNNNNNNNNNNNNNNNNNNNNNNNNNNNNNNNNNNNNNNNNNNNNNNNNNNNNNNNNNNNNNNNNNNNNNNNNNNNNNNNNNNNNNNNNNNNNNNNNNNNNNNNNNNNNNNNNNNNNNNNNNNNNNNNNNNNNNNNNNNNNNNNNNNNNNNNNNNNNNNNNNNNNNNNNNNNNNNNNNNNNNNNNNNNNNNNNNNNNNNNNNNNNNNNNNNNNNNNNNNNNNNNNNNNNNNNNNNNNNNNNNNNNNNNNNNNNNNNNNNNNNNNNNNNNNNNNNNNNNNNNNNNNNNNUAGAAUUUAUUUAGUUCUUUCGUCAUUAUAAAGUUAGUAUAUAAUAAUAAUAAUAAUAAUAAUAUAUCAUUAUUUACUAUUAAUAUUAUUAUGUUUAUUAUCAUUAUUUACUAUUAAUAUUAUUAUGUUUAUUAUUUUGUAUUUGCAUCUAACUUUUAAUUUUAUAAAAUGGAAAUGGUAGAAGUACUAAUAUUGAAGUUUCCUCUGAAUUUUAUAUUCAAAUCUGAACCACGUGAAAUGCUCCAUUAAUGUAGAGAGAGAAAGAGAAUGAUUGUUAAGGAUAAUGGGGUAGGUGUAGGGUAUUUUUGGAAUAAAGAAAAUAGUGAGAAAGUGUAAAAUAUUUUUGAAAUAAAUUAAAUUAAUGAGGAGGUACAGGUCUGGCUUGGGGAGGUGUAAGGAGCAACACCCCACCUUAAAAUAUCCAAAGAGCAUUUAUAAAACUAAAAAACAAUUUUUAUCAUGUUUUUGUAUCUAGUGCUCAAUAAACCCAAAUAUAACCAAUCCUAAUUAAAAUAUUCUAUUAACAUACAAAAACAAAUUCAGAAUCCAAUAUUAAAGACUAAAUAAGAACAUAAAUAUAUACUCAUCAAUAAUGUUAAAAUUACACUUAUGAGCAUGACUGAAAAAUAAAAAUUAUUAUAUAAAAAAUCAUCAAGACAAUAUUCUAUACAAUAAAAAAACAACAAAUAGUAUUAAAAAGAAAUAGUAUUAAAAAGAAGAAAAAAAUAUUAAAUAUGUGCUCUAGAAACAAUUUGGUAUACUUUUAAUGAAAUCUCACAAAGAAAACAAUGUAUAGUUAAGAUUAUUUUAAGAUGAAAAAUACCCUGGACAUUUAAGAAAUCUUUCAAAUAUUGAACUAGUUGAAUUAUUAAAAAAUAAUGAAAAUUGUUUUGGUAAAAUAAAAGUUAUUCGAAUGAGACAGAAAUUAAGAUUAAAGAUAAAAAAGAUAAGUUUUUAUAUAUUUUAAACAAAUUAUUGAAUAUUUAAAAUUGAGGUCAAACAUUCUUAUUAAAAGAAUAUAUAUGAAAGAUUGUCAUGAUCUAAUUUAAUAUAUUUGUUUUCAUAAUUAUAAUUCUUUAUUUUCUUAUAAUAAAUAGUUAAAAAUAAUUAAUUUAAAUUUUUUAUAUAAUAAAUUUUUAUUUAAUUUAGAAUUAAAAAAUGCAAAAGAUUUUGUUAAUUUUUUUUUUUAAUUAUGUGGACAGCCGCGGUAAGCUUGUAAACUGAGUGUGAAUAUGAAUCAAACCUAUCAUUUUUACCUAUCAUGUACAAAACAACCAAAAUAAGAUUGCUAAAAUCAUUCCAAUGAAACCUCAUUAUUAUUCCUAAACUUUAGUUCUUCAAAAAAACAUAGUGAAUUUAGUUUCAAAAAAUACAAAAUGUUAUUUAAUUUACAUUAUCUUGUGAAUUUUAUUUUGUCAUCAAAUAUAAUUUUAAUUGCUAAUUUAGUAUUAUUAAAAACUAAAUCUAGAUUAUUUAUAUGUUUAAAGAUUAAAUUAUAAUUUUCAAUAUUUUUUGAAGAUCUAAAUUAAUCAUUGUAAUACUUUGAUUUAGGAUGUCACGUGUGAGGAAGAGAACAUUCUUUAUUUAGGAAAAUAAAACUUUGAUACUAUCACAGUAUAGAAAAAAUUUAAACUUUAUAUUAAGUUAUCUUGAAAAUAAAUAAAAACAUGCGAGAAUAAUAAUUAAUCCAAUUACAACUUGAAAUAACAUACUAACCUCUUUAUAAUUUGUUUAAAUAAAAACAAACAACCUUUUGAAAACUCCAAAAAUAAUUCUCCACUCGUCUAUCGUUCUUCGCCGCUUCAACAUCAUCAGCAACAACAUCUGUAACAUCAUCUGCUCCCGUAUAAUACGAUCAUUGCAGGUGGAAACCAUCACCACAAAUGCAAGGGUGAGCUAACAGAAUCAACAUCUAACUCAUAGAUAAUGAUAUAAUAUAAUAAUACAAUUAUCAAUUAAUGUUACUAAUGAGGAGCAUUGGUAAAUCUUGAAGUAAAUAGUUUUGAUGAUGCUACAAGACGUUUUACCUGAAGGAAGUAUUAGAAAUGUUUAAAAGCACUUUGUAGAAUAUAAGUGUAAUAGGAAAGUCUUCAAAUUUUGUAAAACUUGUAUUUUUACUGAAAUAAUCGAUUAUGAGAAGCAAUAAUCAGUUAUCAUGAGUCUUUCAGGAAUAAUCGAUUAUCAUUCCAAAUAAUCAAUUAUCACAUUUUGAAAAACCUGUAACGGACUUGAAUAAUCGAUUAUCACUUACAAUAAUCGAUUAUUAGUGACAGUUGGGACUUGACCUCUGAUAUUUAGAGUAGCUGGCUAUAUAUUGGACUUCUGAGAAUUUCAGAAGAAACGUUGUUGAAUAGAAGCUCUUGCAGAAUACUGUUUGUCAGAGGAAGUUCUCAAAAGCUAUAGUUCAAGUUCCCUUGCUUGGUCUCGUGAAUAGGAGAAGCUCGCGUUUCGUGUGUCGAUAGUCGGAGCGGUUCUCUUCGAGUUAGCAAGGUGCUCUGCCUGGUCUCGUGAAUAGGAGAAGCUCGUGUAUCAUGUGUCGAUAGUCGGAGUGGUUCUCUUUGAGUUGGCAGAGUGUUCUUCUUCUGGUUCGUUCAUCGAAGGAAAGUUCUUUUAUCAUAUUUUAUUUAUUACUAUUGUAAUAUGUGAAACUCAUUUUUAUAGUGAUUACCGACUGAACGUAGAUUCUUUUGAAUCGAACCAGUACAAAAAUUACUUGUGUGAUUUUUCUACUCCCUAUACUGAUAACUCUCAAAUUUUCCCUAUUUUUCUAGUCUUAGAAGUUUAUUUUAGUACAUUUUAGUUUCUUAUUUUAUAGAAUUAGGUUAGUUUAGUAUUUUUUUUUUCUUUAAAUUUAGAGUUUUGUUAAAAUAGUGUUAAUUUUGCCUUUUCAGUUAAAUAAAAUAGGUUUUUAAAUAAAUAGAUAUUUUUCCUUUUUAGAAACAAAUAUUUUGAGAAUGAAAAUAAAAAUUUCUUUUGUUGUUAUAGACUUUUAGUUUUUUUUGUUGUUUAUUUUUUUUCNUUAUUUCUUUUUGCAGUAUUAAACCUGAUCCAAGGGGGCCACAAAUCUGGCCAAGGCUGGUGCUGAAAUGGGCCGAAGUAAUAUGGCCAGUGUUUAUGGACUAAAGCCAUUUUGGGCAGCAGAUUAAUGAAACGCUCAUUCAAGCAGCUGUGUGUUUACUAAAGGAGUAUACCCGUGAAGAGGGUUUCAUUUCUCCAAAUUAGAAGCAAUUGGAGCUAGGACUCACAAAGAAGAUUUUCCCCAAAUUCUCUAAACCCUCAAUCUAGGGUUCGUGGUCCAGCAAGAGGGGAUCAGUCCGAUGAAGCAAAUCCAAAGAACGACAACCCAAAAACGGGAACAGCCUAAGAUGUUGAUCGGUCAGAAUGAAGGUUGGAAGCACGUGCUAAGCUUGAACGGUUUGAGAACCUGGUCAGAGUCAGUUGAAGGAUAUUCAAGAAGCUUCCAAGUUUGUUCAGAUUCUUUCCCCUUUCCCCCUCUUUUCAUCUUUUCUGUUUAUGUUUUCUCCUAUAUAAAGGAGUUUUGUAAAAUAGAAUAAGUAUGUGCACUGGGUGACAGGCAGUGUACUUAGAUUAGGUUCUCCUUCUCUCGCCUUAGAGUAGAUAGUGGUGAGUGACAGACAUCACUUGUAGGGUGUAUACUACGAUUCAGUUUUCGAUUUCUCGCUUUAGUGUUAGAUUUACCGCUUUCGUAGAAGUAGAUACUUUGAUUCUUGCACUGGAAUUCUUGGGGAUGAUCAAUGGGUGACAGACUUUGAGCUCUCUGGGAUUUCUGGUAUCUGUACUUUUGAUUUCCUUUUCUUAAUAAAAGUUGUUCUUUCCAAUUUCAGUUUNNNNNNNNNNNNNNNNNNNNNNNNNNNNNNNNNNNNNNNNNNNNNNNNNNNNNNNNNNNNNNNNNNNNNNNNNNNNNNNNNNNNNNNNNNNNNNNNNNNNNNNNNNNNNNNNNNNNNNNNNNNNNNNNNNNNNNNNNNNNNNNNNNNNNNNNNNNNNNNNNNNNNNNNNNNNNNNNNNNNNNNNNNNNNNNNNNNNNNNNNNNNNNNNNNNNNNNNNNNNNNNNNNNNNNNNNNNNNNNNNNNNNNNNNNNNNNNNNNNNNNNNNNNNNNNNNNNNNNNNNNNNNNNNNNNNNNNNNNNNNNNNNNNNNNNNNNNNNNNNNNNNNNNNNNNNNNNNNNNNNNNNNNNNNNNNNNNNNNNNNNNNNNNNNNNNNNNNNNNNNNNNNNNNNNNNNNNNNNNNNNNNNNNNNNNNNNNNNNNNNNNNNNNNNNNNNNNNNNNNUGUUCACUGUUAUUAGCAUAUCAUUUAGGAUAGGAAUUACGCAUUGCAUAUUUCAAUUUUGUUUCAUUCAUUUAAUCUUUAGUUUAAAUAGAUACAAUCAUGCAUUGCAUUAUCUUUUCAUAUUAGAUUUCAUUUUUACAUUUUAUUUUCCCCACCUAGUUUUUAGUAAAUAAAUACAUAAUUAGGCAUAAUUCUACAAUUCUAUCUUAAUAAGUACCAAGUCCACGGAUUAGACCCUAGGUUGCCCCUAUACUACAUUAGUGGGGAAUUUAGGUUUGUUGAGAUUUUAGGCGACAAAAAAUCCUUUCAACAUAUACUCUUUAAUUUUAUUUGCAUAUCAACUGUUCGAUAAAUUUUCACUUAGAAAAUUUAUUUUACAAACUGACCAUUUUAAUCUUAAAAAGUUGAGUGAACACGCUUUUCUCUACUUUAAGUUUUAUUCCCCUGCGUUAUACUCUAUCUCCGAACGAUAGCGAUUGUUAACCAACAAUAAGCUCAUAACAAUCCUACUAAAUCAAACUCACAACAUUGUUAAUCCAACUCCAACCUAGAGAAACCAUGCCACACUCUCGAUUACUAUCGCUACAUGUUUUCUUCCGUACUCCAGCACACAUGACCUGUUCACCUAAACCGGGCCUACGCACCAACGCAGGACUUUCUCGCAUCAUUUGCUAUUGAGUACGUAAAAAACCACAGGGUUCACAGUCACCCACUAGCAUGACUUAUCAAACAACCCUUAUGGAAAACAACAACUCAACCAACUCAUGUUCCACUCGACACACGUUCCAAUUAACGUUGCAACUACAAUGCAAGAACAACAUUCAAGAACUUUUAGUUUUUUUAAUAUGACAAAAAAUAAGAUAAAAGAGAAUAUUCAAACGAGAAGCUUACUCUAGAUACCAAAUGAUAAGAUCAUGUCUAGGAAAUAGUAUGAUCGUUUCCGAAUUUGAAUCCUUAAGAGAAACAAAAAAAUAAUAAUCAGAGAAGAAUGUGGAAUAAGAUAGGGAUGAGGACACCAUAAUCUAGCAUAUUGAUAAUUUAAGUAAAGAUUCACCAUAAAGAUAUUAAUAUUUGAUAAUAAUCACAAUUCUAAUCCAAGAACCAAGAUAAUCCUCUCUCAAAGAAUGGAAAUGUGUAUAUAUAUAUAUAUAUAUAUAUGAUAUGAUAUGACUUAAAAGUGUCUACAUAUGUAUUUGGUACCCUUAUAUAUAAGCACAAAUGUUUAAGCCACCUAAUAAACUCUUAAGAACCAAGAUAAUUCUCUCUCAAAGAAUGAAAAUGUAUAUAUAUAAUAUGACUUAAAAGUGUCUACAUAUGUAUUUGGUACCCUUACAUAUAAUCACAAAUGUUUAAGCCAUCUAAUAAACCCUAAAAGAGUCCAAAGACAUUAGACCCAAAAAUAACUUGAAAAUUUAAAAACAGAAACUAAUUGUCUGUAAUUAAAAGAAAACAAAUAUCGUUUUAGUUGUCUAAAUUAUUGUAUAAUUAUGCUCUAAGCCAUGAUUUUCAUGUCCCUUGAAUUCCAAUCUUCAUGGAGCAUCAUGAGUCUCAAGGAUAUUUGUUCUUCGAGCUAUUUGUUUCUUGGCCUUGUCAUAGGUCCUUUGAAUUGGAAUGACUUUUCCUCAAGUUCUUCUUUUAUAGGAUCAAGGGAUAGUCCUCUGUCAUAAUCUAUUUUAUAACCAUUGUUAGUCACAUUCAAUAUUUUAAUAAUUCUAAUUCAGGCCCUUAUCAAAUCAGAAUAUUAUCUUAGGGUAUCUACAUAAUAACUUUUUAUGACAAUUAUGUCCUUAAUGGAAGACACAACGUACAAGAAUUUGUUAUCACGUGUGUUUUAUGGGAUGUGUACCUUUCACACAAGUAUUUUUUGUAGAUAAUUUUUCCACACUAUAUUUCGUAAGUAAUGUUUGUAGAUAAUUUUUUACGCUUUAAUUUUGUAGUUAAUUACUAAUGAAUAAUUUUGUAAGUUACGUAUAAUGGUUACCUUUUUUAUGCAACUUAUAGUUUAUGUUAAUCCUCUCAUUAAUUUUUUUUUCCUCUUAUCGACUAAAGUUUAGUAUAUAUACCCAAUUAAGAAAAAUAAAAAUAAAAAUAAUAUUCAUUCUCCUUUUCUUAGUAUUAGAAAAAUAUAAGAUAUAUAAUAUAUGAUAUAAAAUAUAGGAUCUGAAAAGGAUUUAGAAUAUAUAAUGUUAUCGUAAAUUAUUUCAUAUAACAUUAUAAUAAUAUAUAUGUAGUUAUGUUAUUAAUAUUAUUAUAUCUAUGUUUUAUGAUAAAAUAAUAAUGAUUAAAUUAAUUAUGUUAGAGAAACAUUAAAAAUAAAAAUAAAAUAUAUGUAUAAGCUUUUCGUUAUGUUUUUUAUUUUUAUUGUAUUAAUUUUAUCAAUACUCAAGUAUAAUUUAUAUUAGUUUAAAGCUGAAUUUUUCAACUAAAUAAUAUUUUAUGAAACGAAUUUUUAAAAGUACAGACUAAUUUUAUUCUUUAUUAUAUUAUUCAAAACCUGUGAUGGACUGAGAUUGAAGGAUGUAUGGGGUUGUAAAUUUUAGUUAACUUCAUAGUAUUACAAAGGUUUAAUACUUUUUUUUCUCUCGAAAGAGGGGGAAUGUUCAAAUUCAUUAUACCUUUUUUAAAAAGUUAAAAUGGGUCCCAACUUGUGAAAAAACUAUUCAAGUUAAUCUUUUUUUGUUACGAUGUUAAUUUUUUAACAGUGUAGCUGACACCCUGGACAAAACAUAAUGACAUGUUAGAAUAUUUGAGUGUGUGAGGGUGAAAUGACAUGUAAAAAAAUAAAUUGGGAAAAAAAAUAAAUGGCAUGACACUGUACUCUGGGAGGUUAAAAAAACAGGGGUUAGGGUUCGAGAGAAAUCACGAAUUAGGAGUAAACAUUAUGGUGAAAGUGGUGUUCAAAUUGGGGUGUCGUCGAAGCUGAAAUUUGAAGAGCGAAUUCAAAAGUGUAAAUCAGGUUAGUGUUUAUGUUUUAUAAUUUUCCGAAUUUGUGUUAUUGUUUGGUUAUGAUAUUUGUCGCGUUGCCGCGUUUUGGGCGGGGGGGUUAACUACGGGUUAAAUUGUUGUGUGAAAAGUUGUCUUGUUUUGAGGGUUGAUAGUGGUCUCAUAUGUCUUAGUUUAACUUAAUUUAGUGGUCCCCGUUUGCAUUUGCAGGGUUCGAGUUGGGAUGUCUAAUGACAGGUUUCAGGUAGUGGUCCACCACGGUGAGACCUUGAUCAAAGAAGUGCCCUUUAAAUAUAUAGGUGGGGAGAUAGUUUAUUAGGACGUAGCUGACCGCAAUAAAUGGUGUUAUUUUGGAGUAUUAGGUUCACUUAAACAUCUGGGUUACAUUGAAAUACAAGAAUUAUAUUACAAUAUCCAACAUAUUUUACAUAAGCUUUAUGAUGAUAAAGGAGCUAUGGACAUGAUGAAGGUGGCUAAUUAUUUGGGAAAGUAAACCUAUAUGUUGUACAUGGGGUGGACGAACCAGUUGUUGUAGAAAAUUAUGAGAAUGAGAUUAUUUACCUAUGUGAAGGUCCUACAGAGAGUGUUGAGGGUAGUAUCGUUAGAGGAGAAGCACAUGUUGAUGGUGGUGAUGAAGGAAUUGGGGACGUAGAAGUUGAAUUGGAAAAGGAGGUUGAGGAUGAGGGUGCAAUGAAGGUUGAGAAUGAGGAUGCAGUGGAGGUUGAGAAUGAGGUUGCAGUAGAGGUUGAGAAUGAGGAUGUAAUGGAGGUUGAGAAUGAGAGUACAGUGGAGGUUGAGGUUGAAAGUGAAUAAGCAGUGGAAGUGGACAGUGAGGAUGGAGUUGAGGUUGAUAGUCAAGAAGAAGUGGAAGUGGACAGUGAGGAUGAACCAGGAAUGGAUGAUCUGAGUGGUGAUGAAUACGUGGAUCAAGACAGUGAUAAUGAAACCCAACAACAGUAUAGGGGUUUGUCAGAGGAUGACAACAAGGAUAAAUUAUGUGUAGGUCCCUUUUCAAAAUAUGCAAAACAGAAGUCGAUGCCAGAUUAUAGGUGGGAAGUGGGCAUCAUUUUUAGCAAUAAGGAAGACUUUGAGGAUGCCAUUAGAAGGUAUGUUGUUCAUGUUGAUAGGACUCUAAAAUUUGUGAAAAAUGAUAAUCGUAGGAUGAGGGUUAGAUGCAUGGGUGGCUAAGGUAAAUGCCCAUGGGUAGCUUACUGUGGAUAUUUGCCAUCACGCAAAAUUUGGCAAUUGAGAAAGAUAAUUGACACUCACAGUUGUAGUAAGUAACUUAACAAUAAACUGAUGAAUGCUAAGUGGUUGAGUUAGGAAAUAGAUAGGUCUUUAGUUGACAAUCCUAAUCUGAUGUGGAGGGCUGCCAUAUGUACAUAUCCCCAGGCUUGGGAGAGAGAAAUGUUGAAAAUUAAAGAAGUCAAUAUUGAAGCAUAUAAAUACCUCAUAGGCAUUCCCAUGAGGUAACCCAUUGGCCAUUACAUGCACAUUUCAGUCACUCAUGCAUUGUAACCCAUUUUGGAAAUUUUUGUGCAACAGGUUUUGGUCAAGAUCUCACUUCACAGGUCAAACAAUGCGUGAUACCCUAAAUAGCAACAUCAGUGAAGCUUUCAACAAUGUUCUUGUUCAUGCUAGAGGAAAACCAAUUAUCACCAUGUUGGAGGAUACCAGAGUUUAUCUCAUGAAAAGAUGGGCCACCAAUAUAAGUAAGGUGGCAUAUAUGGGCUUCACAAUAUCCCAAAGAUAAAAGAGACUUCAGAAGGAAUCAAAUUUGUCAAGAUUUUGGGUCUCAAGGUAAUAUUAUCAUUUAUGUUCAUAUACAUUUGUCAUUUAUCUUCAUUGUUGAAGUGCUUUAUUUAUUUCAGUUGGCCUGCACAAAAUAUUUUUGAGGUUAGCCACACUUCAGCCGUUGAGAACAAGUUCACACUGGACUUGGACACUAAAAAAUGUAGCUGCAGAAAGUGGAUGAUCAGUGUCAUCCCAUGCUAUCAUGCAAUUGCAACAAUGAACUACUCAAAUGUAGACUCAGAGAAUUUUAUACCCACUUGCUUUAGAAGAUCCACAUAUGAAGAAGUGUAUGCCUCUAUAAUUUUUCUAGUGAAUGACCACCUGCUAUGGGAAAGAACAACCUUCUCUGAUGUACUGCCACUAGUGAAGAGGAAGUUGCUUGGGAGACCAAAGAAAAAAAGGAGGUUGGAGGCAUGAGAGCUAACUAAGGAUGACACUCAAAUGCGUGUUGGUAGACAUAGAAAAAAAUGUAGCAUUUGCCGUCAGAAGGGGCACAACAAGAAUAACUACCCUUUACGUCCCCAGCCAGCAGAAACAACAGAGCUAAUGGAUGAAACACAACCAUCAUAGGCACCUCCAAGUACCCAAACCCUAUACCAUUACAGCCACCAAGUCCCCAAUCAACCCAUCCACUAGUGUUGAGGACAAAAUUAGAUGUUAGAAGAAAAGCUACUUAGAUGAAUUAGAUGUAUUAUGUACUGUGAUUAAGAACUUUAUGUCUUUACUUUCAUGGUGAUGUACUGUGCUUCAUGAACUUUAUUUAAGUAUCUUGGUCAUAAGUUGUACUCAUAUUUUGCUCAUGUACUGGUAAUAUAUAUGUAUGGUAAUGAAGGAAAGUGCUUUGAUGAAUUAACCUAUACUCAUAAUUUCUUAUUUCUUCAUAAUCUUAUGUUAACAGUUUUGUCAUCAUCAUAUACAUUAUUGGCUUGACCUAUGUGAAUAUUUUUAAAGCAAAUGGGAGAUUGAUUCGAAUAUUCUCCACUGAAUUUAACUCAUUAAAAUAGUCAAUGCUACGUAAUACAUUGCAUGACUGAUCUUACACCAACCAAAACACCUUGACAUUGCCAACCUACUUUUUUCAAGCAUCCAAUACAUUACAUGAAUGUCAACAAAACAUAAAAGAAACACCCAAUUUCCCCACCUCAGAACCUGAAAGUCACAAGGUUCAGCGUAAUAUACACAAACAAAGCUACAACUAACAACUUCAUCCUUUUCUUCAAAUCCUUCACUACAUUUUCCAGAUCACUUAUCCUCCUCACAAUUGUACAAUCUUUUUCAUCAACGUUUUUUUUCAGAACACCGCUUGAAAAAGUUACACGAGCUCCCAAUUGAAGAUCCACCCUAUUAUUCACCAAGUUAGGGAAUCUAUCACCAAAUGCAUAAAGUGAAGAAAACAUAAACUCGGAAGGGUAUACUUAAAACCUUGUAAUGAGAACAUCUCCAAAAAUUUCUGCCAGCAUUCUCCGUAGUUCCCGCGACUUUGGUUACAACAAUAUUACCACAGUAACAAAUAGGGAUUAUCCCACCUCCCCUCCAACCAUCACCAUGAGACAAACGCGAAGAUCCUUUGACCCAACUUUUCGAAAACGAAGAACACCCUUGGGAAGAAGCCAUUCCUAUCUCGCCCCAAACACUUUUCUCACCUCAACGACUAAGUUGGAGGAACCUAAACCCUAACCCCUCUUUUUUUAACUUCUGCCACGUUAUCUAUUUUUUUUUUCACAAUUUUAACCUCAAAUAGUCACACGGUCACAUAAAAUAGACACGUCAUUAUGUUUUGUCCAGGGUUCAGUUACACUGUUAAAAAAUUAAUGUCAUAACAAAAAAGAAUUAAUUUGAACAAUUUUUUCAUAAGUUGAAACUCUUUUUAAUUUUUUUAAAAAAAGUAGGACGAAUUUAAAUAUUCCCUAUUUUUCAAGGAAUCAAAAGAGGCAUUAAGCCUAUUAUUAACAUUGAGUUUAAAAGUUGAAAUUUGUUACAUUAUAGUUUUUAUGAUUUAUAACUUCUGAAAAUGUAUAUGUAUGAAGAUUUUUUUUAAAAUAAUAACUUGUAAAGGAACUGUUAUAACAAUAUUUAAAAAUUAGGUAAAUAAAAAUCACUUUCCAUAUAAGGUUUUUUUCUUCUUUUUGUGUUAAAUUGAUAUCUUUUAAGAAAAUAUAUAGUAUUUUUAUCUGUAAAACGUUGAUUAUGGACUGAAUUCUUUUCGGUAUAUUUUUUUGAAAUAAUAACCUUUCACUACUCUAUUUUUUUUUCGUAAAAAUUCCAUUUUAGUUCAUAUUUUAUAGGAUGAUAAAAAAAUUAUGACCUCUUUCAAAAGACAACAACAUCAAGUAAUUAUUUUUAAGCUAAAUAAAAUUAUUAUGAACUAUAAAUUUUUCAAUGUUUAACUUAUUUGUAUAUUAUAUUCAAACUCGAGGUCAUGUAUUAAAUAUUCAUAUAUAAAUUGAUUCAAGUGUUUAGUAAUAAACUCUAUUUAUUCUUAUAGUAAUCCUAGUUGUAGACAAGUUGUUCUUGUGUGACAUGGAUAUAAAUAACCAUGUGGAACUUGUUUUCCCUGUUUUUUUUUUCUAAUAACAUGUGCCUAGUUCAAAUUUGUUGGCCCCUUUCUAAACAUUAUCUGGGCCCAAAUUGGAAAUGAAUAGUACUCCAGUCCUAUGUAAAAUGAUUGACUUCUGUUGACUAAUUUUUAUUUUUGUAUAUAAUAUUCUUCUUCUUUGAGAUUGAUCAGAAGCAUGCCUAAUUCCUAGUUACAAUUUUAAUAUGAUAAAAAAAGUGACUCAUUCUUUUUGCAUUAAAAUUAUAAAGAAGACUAAUUCCCUAUAUAACCCUAUAUGUUUUAGUUAGAUCUUUGCAUUAAUUAUGCACUUUAAGUUUCACUUUUCCAAUUCAUGGCUUGUGGUACUUCUAAGAAUGAUGAUACAAAUCAUGAAGCAGAAAAGAAAGAGAAUAUAAUCACAUUGAAAAGUUUGUCUGGUGGACUAUUGAUUUUUCUGUAACGUGUAAUAUUGUGUCAUGUACAAUGUUGACUAUAUAUGCAGAUUACGUGCUCAAAUUAUUACUUACAUGAAUUCAUAAACAGUAGCCAUGCGCAUAAUGUUUCAUUGCUUCGUCGCUUUAAAACAUGUAACAUGUAAUUAAAUUUAUUAAUUCCAAGCACUAGUCUGAAAAUCUAAAUUUUACGUUGUAAUUUAUUCUUAGCUUUAAUAACUUAAAGUUUGACAUCAAACUAUUCCUAUUGUUAACCUUUUAUUCUUUAUAUUUCUUCAAAUUUACUUUAAUUGUUCUAUCAGAUAUAUUCAUUGAUAAUUUAUUGUUGAUUUAAUUUACCCACAAAUAAAUUCGUCAGUAAUUUAUUUGAUGAAAUCAAAUUUAUAUUUGAGAUUUUCUUUUCCUAAUUUUAUUUUUUGCUUUUUUUAAAAAUAGUCUACUUUGUAACAUUAUUUCUUUGUAUCAUUAGUGUAGGGCGGAGGUGAGUGGAUUCAAGUUCUGAUCGGGUUGUAGUUCAAUGGGAAAUAACCUAUGUUAUAAUGUUUUGCAAUUUGGAGAAAGGAUACAAGGGACACCUUGAGUUUGUAUGUUCUCAUAAAAGAUAUAAUAUUAGAUUUUUUUUUUUCUUGUGGAUGGGUAUUGGUACGUGGACAUUGGGUAUGUACGGAUUAUGGUAUCAAAGUUUGUUGUUAUUGGUCGUGUGGUCUCUAAUUACUUUCUUACUUGGUAUGGUUGUUUCAGAGGUAGGGCAUUUACGUUAAAUGUUUUCCAUGGUGUUGGGUGGGGUUACCAUGGUUUUUGUCAUUGCUAUCACAAUAUCUCCUAUACCAUCUUCCUAUACUGUGAUGGUGUGCUCAAGAAAGUCUUGUUUUUGUAAGUAGGUCCUAUUUUAGUAAUUAGGAGAGUGUUGUAGGAUGAACAAGACAUGUUUUGAUAAACAAGAUCAUGGAAGUCUUGCUUUGGAAAGUGUGCCCUAUUUUAGUAAACAGAUCAAGUUGCUCGAGUAUGGAAGAGAACAUAGUAAAAGAUGGUGAUAACAUGGUUUGCUUGGAUUAAAGUUGGUUUGGCAUGGUUUUGUUGUGUGGUGAUUUAUUUGAAAUAAGGGCAUAAUGAGGUUAGAUAUCAAUUUUAAUUAUAUCAUUAUAUGUUGUUUUGAUGUUUAUUUUGUUAGUUCACCCUUACGUUUUGUGGUUGUGGUUUCCGCUUUGAUGACCAUAUUCAUACGAGAGCAGAUAAUAUUACAAAGGUUGAUGUUGAUGGUACUAAUGUGAUGUAGAAUGAGAGACGGUGGAGAAUGAUUCUCGAAGUUUCCAAAAAGUUAUUUCUCUUUUUAAUUAAUCAUAAGGAGUCUUGGUACAUUAAUUCCAGUUGUAAUUGGAUUAUUUAUUGUUAUAGCAUAAACUUUAUUAUUUUUAUGACAACAAAAUAAAUUUUUAAAUUUUCACUACAUUGAGGUGGUAUCAUAAUUUUAUUUAAUUGAUGUCUUUUGUGUUUGGUUGGGUUAGAUUUUAAUAGGGUUGUUUCCUUUUGUCAAAGGUUAUUGCGGUAGUAAUGUUUUAACUUAUAUGUUUGACUUGCAUUUUGGGCUUACAAUGUUGAUAUUAGUUGUCUUGCUUCUAAACUCCAUAUUGUAAUUUCUUACAAAACAAAAUCAUGAUCCCUACAAACUGCAUUGUUUAUGUUUUCUAAAACUUAUAUAAGAUAAAUUGUGAGUAUGGUGGACGAUUUAAAUGGGGAUUGUAUUUUGCAGAAAGAUGAAUAAAUAAGUCUUGAUCGUUUAAUUGCUUAUAAUUCAAGAUAUCUCUUUUAUAUCUUUUGUUUUGAUUUUUAGGCUAGUUAAAUAGCUACCUUUAAGAUGAUUUAUAAUUAAGAGAUGUUGGAAAAAGAAUGGAUUAGUUUUAACACCUAGAAGAUGAAUUGGUGAAAAUAAAAAAUCAGAAUCUUUUCAAAAUCUUUUUCACAAAGUGUAAACCUUUCAAAAGUUUCUUGAAUCUCGUAUGAAAAAGAUAAAUCAAUGCAGCAAAAAAUAGUUGACGAUACUGAAAAUAUAGUCGACUUUAAAAUAAAGAGAUCAAGGAUAGAGAAAUUCAAACAUAGUUUUUAUACUAGUUCGACCAAACUGCCUACAUCCAGUGUCCUUCCUCUAACCGAAAGCAAAUGCACUAUAAUGGUCAAGGUUUUUACAACAAGGUUUCUAUAGGGACCUUCAUGUCAAAAUAUAAAACACCUCUCUAACCCUCUAACCAAAUAUAGGCAUACAACACCUAAAAAACAACAAGAUAUCCCCUCUCCUACAGUCUUUGUCAACUUUGAACAAUCCUCAAAGUUUUCCUAGCUCUUCCUGUAAUCACAAUAGGGCAGCCACAAUCUUCACAAGAUUGAGAGAAGUAGAUGAUCACGUUUCCAGUACACCUCAAUGUGCAGUAUGAUCAAGCCUUUCUUUCAACACAACCUUGCUCGUUAAAUAACUAUCCAAGAGAGAUCUCCACGGUCUUCUUUAUAAGUUCUUAGAGCUUUUCACAAAGAUCAAAAUCUGAAACAAUAGAAUGAAAUUGCUAGAAUAACCAAAGUCCCUGUGUAAAACAGAAUCACGUCUAUUUAUAGUUUUCUGUAAAAAAGACGCUCUUGUAGUCGACUUCACUACUAAUCCAGUCGACUUCAGUCAAACAAUUAAAAUAGUUAAAACCAAUUAGUAGCAGUCAGACCAACCAAAUUGAUUGGGCAUUUAAUUCAGUUGACUUGCAAUUAAUGCUUUGUCAAAUAGACAAUAUAUAGCUGUUAUAGUUCACAAACAUUAACAGAAAUUCAAAACAUAACUAACUAAGUCGAGUUGCCUACGUAGACAGUCGACUAUGUCACUUCAAUGUAGUUUUGAAAAUCUUUCCUUUGCAAAAAUACUCACAACACUGUUUUUGAAAAUUUGUGCAAAGUCACGAGUUUUAAUCGACUUACUUCAUAAUGAAGUUGACUUAAAACUUGCAGUUUUGCCACACAAUAUAAGUUCAACCAAGUGCAUGUGGUUUUCUUUUCUAAACACAUAUGUAAUGAAAUCACAGAAGAUAUCUCAUGUAAAGAUCAGUGAAUAUGCACACAUAUACAAAAUUAACACAAACAUGUUCUUCAAGAAUUCAUACACAAUAAAGUUUUGAACAUGUAACACAUAUCAAUACAUGUGUUAUUAAUAAUGUGUUGUCAUCAUCAAAAACCAAAAAUACUGUGAGAUUAAGGUUUAGCUAAACCAGUACUUCCCUUAUCAACAAUCUCAACAAGAGAUGUGGGACCUAAACCCUGUUUAAACAUUACAUUUCAUAUUUAAGAUCUCUGAGUCCUAUAUCCCUUAGUUUACUCAACCUACUUCCUCUACUACACCUACAUAGGCAAACCUAAGGCUUCCUUUGUAUUUGCAUUAAAUUGCAUUUCUUCUUUAAGAUACAAUUUAUCUCUUAGUUUGAAUUUUGGGUCUUAUCUUGUAAAAAACAAGUGGCAAUCCUUCCUUAUUAUUCCAUAUCAUGUAAGAACUAAACAAAUAAGAACAAAAAUGAAAUUAAAAGGUAUAAAAUGAAAAGGAGAAAAGGAAAAGAAACUUAGGAAAUUGAAGCCACGCUGUUUGGAGGGAUCCAAUAUAAGUGCAAGGGAGGAUCAUAAUUUGUUCUUUAAAAGAUAAGUCUCAAAAUAAUUUAGACUAAAAGAUAUAUUAUCUUAAAGAAAAAAUGUAAUUUAAUGUAAAUCGCUUUAAUUUUCAUUUAGUGAAAGGUUUAUUACUACAAAUGAGGCCUUAGGUUGCUUAUAUAGGUGUAAGAGAGGAAGUAAAUUAAGUAAAUUAAGUAAAUUGAAAGAUGUGGAACUUGGAGAUCUUAAAUUUGAAAUGGAACGUUAUAAACAGGUUUUAGGUACCACAUUUCUUAAUUCUACAUUACCCUAAAGAUAUAUAAGCUACCCAACUAGUGUAAAAAUCAAAACUAAAGUUAUAUCAUAGAUAACUUGAAUUACAAGCAACUAAAAGAGGAAAACUUUUUUAUUAUUUUUUCUUUUUAGUCCAAACUAUUUGGAGUCGCAUAUUGAUUGCACUUUAAAGAAAAAAAGGAUCUAUAAGUAUCUCUACAACCAAACUAAGGAACUAGCAAGGCAAAAUACAAACCUAUGAAAAUCUAUGCUAAUAAAGGCCAAAAUACAUGUUAUAAAACCUAUUCUAUUCUUUUCAUUUCUUCAUGUUUUCCUUAUGUCUUGAGCCAUUUAUGAUCACAUCAGAUCAGCCCAAUGAAAAGGGGUGAACUCAAAAGCUAAUCUGAGGUUGUUCACAAAGGGUGAACUCAGAAUUAUAGGUAGGGGUCAAAGACCCUGUUAUUUUCUUCAUUCUGUCUUUCUUGUGGACAUCUUGGUGCCCUCGUAAUGUUGUGAGAUUGCAUUUUAGUGCAUUCUGUUUUCAAGUCAUAGCAUGCUUUGUAUUGAUUACAAAAUGUAGUUUUAAAGUACAUGGACAUAAGGGUCUAUAUAAGAAAAUCCAGAUUUAGAUAAAGCCGUGUCUCAUGGAAUGUUUGCAAAUAAAGAAACUGUUUUUGGCACUGUAGUAGAUGCACGUCAAACUUCUUAGUAAAAAAGGAUUCACUGUGAUUUAUUUAAGGUGAUAUCAUAUGUCUUGCUUCUAAAGUAUGCUUUAGUAAUUGUUUUUACGUUGCAUGUUGCUGUUGAACGUGGAGUAAAAUUUUGAGUAGUAGACAGAGAAGAAAAGUGGAUCCCCUAUCACUUUCUUAUGAUUCAAUAGUGGUUUUCAUACAAAUAGUAGCGAACACACUAUAAACUGAAGAACUUUGUAAUUAAAACAGCUUAAACUCAAACCAAAUCUACUCUAGGAAAGCAAUAAAAUCUACCAAACUAGCUUUGUAGUGAAGGCAGGUUCAUAACAUUAGAGAGAAGGAAAACUCAGAACUGUAAAAUCUGGAAAAGGUUUUCUUAUUAGUCACUAUGUGGUUUUCAUCCAUCUCUAAUUUUGAUAUUCGCAUUCCGGUUCUGCAACACCCCGGACUCAUCAUUUCUAAUAGCAUAUGGCAUAUUACUGCAAUAUCUUCGCACUGGUUUUUUAUUACAUUAGUCUACUACAUCAUUUAAAUUGAAGAACUUUAGUUCAAAGUCAAAAGGAAUAGAUAAUUUGGUAGAAAGAAAAAAUGAGGUAAAUUAGGAGUUAUGAUUGUAUUCUGUUGAACAGUACGUAGCAUCAACUUAUGGGCUUUGCAAGUUUAUUGGAAGACAGGAUAUGAAUGACAUAGCACGGGGGAAUCUAUUGAUUGAUUUUCUUCACUCUCGGUUCUUUGCUUAUUGGUAUAACAAUCAAAGAAUAUUACACCCCGAUUGUACUUUAGUUUAAGUCAUAGGGAAAAUUCUCAGCUAAACUUUAAUGGUUGCAGAAGAGUAAUAUAUAUAUAUAUAUAUAUAUAUAUAUAUAUAUAUAUAUAUAUAUAUAUAUAUAUAUAUAUAUAAAGACCAUAUCAAUUUGAAUUGUAAUGUGUAACAGCAAUAGGUGGUAUAAAGUGAAAAUAGAAACUUCCUCAUUUCUCUUUAUGCAAGUGAUAAAAUAAAUUGGAGAAAGAAUGAGUGUGUGAGAGAAAAAGAAUGGAGGAUUCAUGCAAGUUGUGGUAAGAUGCAUUGUUUCAUGUGUGGGGUCGGGAAUGAAUAGGACACUCCUUCACACUUUCUAUCGCGCUUGUUUGGAUAAUUUUGUUCGUCUUUUGUUAAAGUCCUUUCUGGUUAAUGUUCCAAACCGCUCGAGGAUACUUGUCAAAGGCAUUUCGAUGCUUAAGUCAUUAAUUAAUCCAGACGAUGGUUAGAGCAAAGUCAUAAAUUCACAAUAAAUAUGAUCACUUACUUUUUAUCUUUGACCUCUAUUUAUAGUUUUAGAGAUGGGCUUAAGAUUAGCAAAACCCUAAUCACGACCCCAAUCUCGGUCCAUUAUCUACUAAUUAACACUUACUCUUAACCUUGUCUAUUUGGUCUUUACCCACAUUCGGCCGAGCAAUCAUCGUCUUAUUUUGUUCAAUUUCAUGGGUUCAGACAUAUUCGAUCGGUCAUCCCUCAAUGGCUCUUUCUGCCCGGUCUUAGCUAUGUUGUCAUCUGGCCAUACAGUACAAAGGCCUCCCAAGCCCUAGCCAACCCUGGGUGGCGUUGGAUUUGAUACAUGGGUGGUGUGGAGUAGGUCUCGUGGCUAUGGUUGGAGCUUCCCCAUACGACGUGAUUUGAAUUUGUGGUAGUGGUGGGAAGACACUUGUCUUAUUAAUUAUGUGUUGUCAUCAUCAAAACCAGAAGAUCUCUGAGAUUGUAAGGUUUGGCUAAAUAAGUGUUCCCUCUAUCAAAAAUCCCAACAACCUUCAACAAAGAAAGGUCAAACCUUCAACACAAAAGAAAAAGGACACACCUUGAACUAAGAGUACAGAGAGAACAGAGGAUUGGAGAGAGAACGGAGAGUGGAGAAAGAACAACAAAGAAGUUGAAUUAUAGAGAGAGAAUGAACCCUCUUUUUCUGAAUGAAAAAAGCAAGGGUAUUUUGGAAUUCAUAAGUGUAAUAUGAUUACAUUUUCCCACGUUACCUUUUUCAAAUAAAAAAUUUAUUUUAACCUUCUCCAAUACUGUUUUUAGACAUGGCAAUUGUGAAAAAGUUAUAAAAAAAAGGUUUAAUGUCUCGAUAAGUCCUUAUUUUCGUCCUGAAUCUCAAUUAGGUCCCUUUUUUUUCGACUUCUCGAUUAGGUCCUUAUUUUUGUAAAAUUGAAUCAAUUGAGGGUCUACCGUCAAAUUAAACAAACUGUCGUUUAAAUUUACUGACGUGACAUUAAAAACGAAUUUUAUAUUAAAAAUUUGAAUUACACAAGUGUGAAUUCAAAUUUAAGAAAGGGCAAAGUAGGCAAAAUCUAAAAUUUAAGUGCAGCCCCUAACUUCAAUCUUCCAUGUUCAUUUCAUUCAACUCAAAAUUAUAUUCUGUUCAUCAGCAUCCUUCCCAAAUUCCAUCAACGUUUCCCUGUCCUUAUCAUACAGCGGGCACUCAUUCUCCAACUAACAAAGUUGGACUACCAACUUAUCAAACUCCAGUGCCAGUCUAUGAUUCUCCUCCACGAAUUUCUUCAAAACUUGCACUCGCUUCAAACUGCUCUAAAAUACCCAGAAUUCCCAUCAUCAAAUUUUCAAAAAAAAGAAAAUGAAAGAUAAAGAUUCAAAAGACCAAUCUUGCAUAAAACAAAAUCAAAUGCAACCAAAACAAAAAGUAAAAAGCCUUCCAAUUCCAACAUUAAUAAACAACCAGUACAUGAUUGGAUUAAUGUGAGUAUUUCAACAAUUUACUGAAGCUUCACAAUUGAGAUUUCCCAAAUGCAGAUUAAAAAAUGAUGAUAAAAGCAAACAAAGAGGAGCGGACCUCACCUCGUCCACAUUAAAAUCCCGAUCAAUUAACCGGUGUCCUGAGUUCUCCAAUUCAGAAACCCUAACGCUCCUUCGAGUUUCUUUCGACACUUUCGCGACGGCGGAGUCCAAAUCCUUGCGGAGGAGCGUCCCUCCCAUGAUGAAUCCCUCUUGUUCGAAGGCAAAGAGCGUCUUGGACUGCGACGGAGAAGAACAAAAUGGAAAGGUGAGACCUUGAAGGAAAUGUAAAUGUUAUUGAUGGUGGCCAAGUCGUUGAAGGAGAUGACGUUGAAUGGAGGAUGCAGAUGAUGUUGACUGGCUUCAUUACUGAGAAGGAGUUUUAGGGUUUUGAAAGAAAAGGGGUUAAUGGAAGAAGAAAAGAGGUUUGUCUUUUUUGCCCCUCUGAACAUAUUUGAUUUAACUUUGCUUAAUUAUUUUUUAAUAUAAAAAUUAAUUCAAAUUUAUUUUUAAUGCCACAUAAGAUAAAUUUAAACGGUCGUUUGUUUAAUUUAACGGCAAGUCUCUAAUUCUUCAAUUUUACAAAAAUAAGGACCGAAUUGAGAAGUUGAAAAAGAAAUGGACCUAAUUAAGAUUCAGGGCAAAAAUAAGGACUUACGGAACUAUUAAACCUAAAAAAAAAAGUUGUUAACUUAUCGCGAUCCACAAUCAAUAAAUCUCCUUUAACACGAAAACUACCUAAAAGCAAUAUCUAUAACUUAAUGUAGUAAGGAAUUUUGACCAAUAAUUUUUUAGACACAAAGUAAUAUGCUUAAACUAAGUAUAAUUUCAAUGUCUAAUCUCUAUGCAAACUAGUAGAGUCCAUUCUCUACCUAUUGUAAGGUAGUGUGGUGUUUUUAUUACACCACUUUUACUUUGCACGUGGGUAAAUGAUAUAGAACAAUUAUAUUUUUUGUAAUCACCAACAAGACCAACCCCUAACUCUGCUAUCAAAUAAAAAAGGACGGAUCUAACAAUGUGAUUAAAGGAAUUUGAGUAACCUCCACCGCUAACUCAACAUGCAAGAGUUCAUUUUCAAAUGUAUUUAGAAGUCUAUAUCACAUAUAUUCAACUAUAACUUCAAUUACUCAAAAAGCAACUUGAGCUGUAAGGAGUGCAAUGGGAAAACUCCAACCUAGAAAUCAAAACAAUAGAAACAAAAAUACAACCAAACUUAGGCAAAGACUAAAUUAGUUGAGAAAGUUAUUUUUCUCAAUUUAUAAAGUAUAAAAGAAAAAUUAAAUGGAUUUUUGAUGCAAAAAAGAAAUUUUAAUUUGAAAAGAAAAUUCAUAGGAUAGAAAUGGUAUUUUAUCAUGCUAGUAUAAGGUAGGAUAUGAUUAUGAAAAUGGAGCAUUGGAGUGAGACACUAAAAGAAAUAUUAGAGAAAAACAAACGUUUUUGCAUGCAUGAGAAAGAGAGAAUGAGGGGGAAGUUUUACAAUUUUUUAACUCAAAAAUUUGGGUUCCAUCUUUAAUUUUGUUUAUAUUUUUUUACAUUUACCAAACUAAAUUAUAUAUGUAUGGUCACAAAUGAAAUUAGUAAAUUUAGGAAUAAAUAUAAAAAUCACAUACUUUCAAAAAUAGAGAAACCAAAUGUCUCACCCGGUUUAUUCAAUCAUAAAUUGUAAUAGUUGGUACCUAAUGUUUUAACUAUAAUGUUUUAAUUAAUUAAAAAUAUAAAAAUAUUUAAUAACUUUAACUUUUAUAUUGAAUACUUCUUCGUUUAAAAAUAUGAUUUCAAAAUAGUAAUGUUUUCCCUUCCGAACAUAAAAUUCACUUCAAUAGUUUUCUAAAAUAAUACAGAAUUAUUCACUGUUUUUAUAAUCAUAUUAAAGAUUCGUGUAUUAUUUUAUCUUAAGUCCGUAAAAUAUCAUAUCGGUCGUUUAUCGACGAAAUAGGCGAAAACUGGAAAGCAAAGACUGAAGGGAUAUGUUUUGCUUAGCGAUGAAGGAAAUCUAUAUUACAAAUAAAUUAAAAAAACAAUGUCAUAAUCAAUUAAAUAUAAGAAAAAAAUAGUAAGAACCUGAUUCUAUUUUAUUUUCAUUGAAUUAACAUACCUAUAUAUUUUUGUCUGUGUCUGAAGUAGAUUCUAUUUAUACAUUCUACGAAUCUAAUACUGAUUCUGUGUUAACAUCAUACUUCAUUUUUGUCUGCCAUAAGCAGAUUCUGAUUAUAGCUGCAAUUGCAAAUAUAACAUGAUUGAGGUUAUACUUGCAACAUAACGAAAUACUUUCCCAAAAGGGCUCUUAUUUUCGUAUUGGCCCCAAAGGUUUUGGAAUAACAGCCCAUUACAAAAGAUACUUUAUUCUUUCUUUCUUCAAUCACUUUUAUUGCAGGAGGGCAGUUUGAGAUCUAUUUAGGUUAAACUCAUUCGGAGGUAUCUAUUUUUGUGUUUUUGUUUCACUUACAUUUCUGUCUUUUAUUCUUUCACCAAUUAGAUUCUUAAGAUUGAAAAAUUGAAAGAAUUUGACCUUUGCCGUUAAAUCAAGCUAACAGGAUUAACUUUCAGCUUACAUGUAAGGGUGAGGUGGAUAAAUAUGAUCACGUGGCGUGCACAGAAGGGUUUGUUUAUGUACGUGGCAUUAAAUUUAAAAAGUAGGGGUUUUGUUAAACAUUUUAAAAUUAGGGUUAUUUUAAAAUACAAUUAGGAUUAAAUCUCUUUCAGUAGUGGAGUGGUGGUUCCAACAGCACCGACUCGUCAUCACUGGCGAUGUCUACGGCUCAUCCUCAGUUGCGCCUCGGUGCUACUUCUACCGGUCUCUCCACCGUCAAGUGCAUGCAAAACGUGGCCGCCAAAGCCGUCGCGCAACGCCUCACUCGUGUCAUGGCAUCUCAGAACGCCAUCAUCGACGAAGGUGAAGAUGACGAUGAUCUCGAUUUCCGGUUCAGCGCUCCGCCUCCUACAUCUAUUUCUUCUUUCUCCAUCAACGCCAUCAGUAACAGGAGCACCAACACAAAUGCCUCCACUAUUCCUCCGAUUUUGGUUGCCAAGCCUAACAGAUCUACUUCUCCUACGAUAACUCUCUCUGCAAUUCGACACUGUUGGGUAUGUCACUGUUUGUCCAGAAUUUCAGGAAGAAAAUAGAAGAUAAACGUCACGCUAGAGAGAAAAAAUCACCAUGGUCGCGAACCGAACAGUGAGAAGGAAUUCAAAGUGAGCGCGUUGAAUGAAGAGAAAAAAAAAUAAAGUGAAUAAGAUUAACUGAAUAAGGAAUCCACCUUGUGGUCGCGACUACGGUAUUUGAACUGGCGAGGGAAAUAACGAAGGACGUAACUAAGGCCGUCAUCGGAGAGAAACAUCUCUGGUGUUAGUUUGGGCCUUGUUCGAGGAAGUUUCUUGGGCUUUUCGGUUGUGAAUCUGGGCUUGAAAGAAAAGGAAGAAGGAUUGGGAGUGGGAUUGGUGGAGGCGUUAGGGUUUGGAUUGGAAUUGGGAGCAGAGAAAGGACAGUCUCGUGACCAAUGACCUGGUCUGCCACACUUGUAACAGCCUGUGGCGGUUGCUGUUCCUUUUCCUCCAUUUUUUCACUUCUCACUGAUCACUCUCCUUUCCCAACACACCAUCUAUCUGUGGUGCGAUGGUGCUCCACCUGGACAGGAUAGAAUGCGGUGAUAGAGCUACGUGGUACAAGCAACUGUUAUCGGCAAUACUGCAGCAAUGAUUUUGAUGAUUGAGUGUCUGGUGCAGGAGGUGGUCGUCGGCGACGGUGUGGUAGCGAUCUAGGUGGCGCGGCGCAAAUAGUGAAGUAAGGAAGUUUUAGGGUUUAUGGAAGGAAGAAGGAAGAAUUUUCAGUUAUUUUAAAAAAUUUAUUCAGAAUAAAAAUUAAAUAAUACAAAUAAUUAAUAAUAAUAAUAAUAAUAAUAAGGUUAAGAAACACUAAUUUUUUAAUUCUUUGUUUAAGAUACUGACACGUGUAUAAUAAAACCAACGUAACAGGUUCUGUGCACACCACGUCACCAUAUUUGUCCACCUUACCCUCACAGGUAAGAAAAAAGUUAACCCCGUUAACUUGAUUUAACGUCAGGGGUCAAAUUCAUUCAAUUUUCCAAUCUUAAGGACCUAAUUGGCAAAAAAAAAAAGAUGAGGAUGCAAGUGGGACAAAAACACGAAAAUAGGGACCUCUGAAUGUGUUUAACCAUCUAUUUACCUGUAUUGAUGUUAAUUGAAGAGAAGGUGCUUAUUAAAUAAGUCUACUAAGUUCAUGGGGUACCAUAAUUGAGAUCUGGGACACUAGAUUGGUCGAAGAACCUUUAAUGAUUGGAUUGUGAAUAGGUGUAUGGUAAGUAAAAGUCUAUAUAAAUAUUAUAAAUAAAAAGUUUAAGGUAAUUGUUCACUUUUACUGCAACAUUUAGUAUAGCCUUUGGAUCAAUACUAAUUUAAGCAUCAGAGUGUAAUCUAUAAGUACACUUCGAACGAUUUGGACAACUUGAGACCUUAAGUAUUGAAAGGAGCUGAAAAUUGAAGUUAACCUAAGACCGAGACAUAUAGGAAAUGGAAAUGCUUGACCAAUCUAACAGAAACAUUUUUGUACCCACCGUGGGACCGAACGAGCACUUUUUUGCUGCUAUGGUAAUCACAAAGAACAUGACAAACAAUGAAGUACUAGAGGAGCAGCAUGUGGAUCCUAUGGCUAUGAUGCACGACAUGAGAAGGGAGAUGGAGACUAUGAGAAGGAAGCAUGAAGGAGAGAUGACAAUUUUGCACACAGAAAACACACUUAUGAAACAAAAACGGAAACUAAGGGACAUGUACAAUCCACCCCAACUCAACUUGGACCAACCAAACAACCAAGAAUCGAGCAUGAUCGAACAGUUCAGAAGAAAAAUUAUGGAGCUAGUAGAGAUCACAACCCAUCUGUCACUGUCACGGUAGACAUGUCUGGGUGCACCCGUUUACUAGUGGAAUCAUUAAGACCCCUUUACUAGACAAUUGGAAGAUGUCAACGUUUGACAAGUAUGAUGGAUCCACGAAUGUUAACGAGCACAUCAACAUUUGUCUAACGCAGUUGGUGUUAUUCACGUCAGAUGAUAUCAUUUAGUGCAAGGUAUUCCCAACAUCACUAAAAUGAGCCAUCCUCGAGUGGUUCAAGCUUCUAUCUGUCAACUCCAUCGGCUGCUUCGCCACAAUUAGAACGAAAUUUAGAACAUAAUUCACCACUAGCCAACAACAUCAUCUAACGUACAUAGCGCUUGUCAACAUUCGACAAUACAAAGAUGAAAUCCUCUGAACAUUCAUAGAUCAAUUUGGAAAGAUAUCUUCACAAAUAAAGGACCUAAGUCAUAAAGUGCCUAUGCAUCAGAUAAUUCACCAAAAAAACUUGUGGGAUCGUUCCCCAAUAGCCUGUUAUGCAGUCUACCACAAAUUUAGACGAUUUGAUAUAGAGAGUAGCAAAGUACAUGCAGCGAAAGGGCUUGAAAGGCUUUCGAAAGCAAAUGCGACUAUAAAGAGCAAAUGUAAAUAAGGGUACAAAUAAAAAAUCAUUCACCAAGAAUCAAGACUCAAAGUUACGGAGUCAAUCAGAGGUCCCCACUUCCAUAACCACACACCAUCGAACAAUGGUUGUUCGAAAAUCCUUUGGGAAGCUCUAAACACAUACUUGUUACCAUCACCUAGAAGAAAGGCAACCCUGUUGAACCUUGAUAGUAAUAAACAUUGUUAAUAUCAUCAUCACUUAGGCCAAAACAACGAUGAGUGUCUACCGCUAAAAUAUAAAAUAGAAGAGUUCAUCCAACUUUGACAGUUAAAGAAGUUUGUCAAAAUUGAUUAAACCCCUACCAUAGAGAAGAACCCCUAAAUGAGCAGUAUCAAUGUACAAAUAGUAUAAGGAGCAGCCUAGGUGAAGAAGCCGAAGUAAGAACAAGAGUCGGGAUGGUCCAUCGAGGGAAACAAUCAACACAACCUAAGGAGGUUUCGCUUGAGGAGGGCACACAAUAUUUUCCUAAAAGAAUCACAUUUGAGCAAUUAAAAUGAUGAAUCUCGUAGAGAAGAGAGUUAGAAGCACGCCCUUCAUCACAUUUUCUAACGAUGAUUAUAAAGCGCCUGACCCUGACCAAGACGACUUGAUGGUCAUCUCAAUCCAGCUAGCCGACUAUGCUAUAAGCAAGAUUUUGGUCAACCAAGGCAGACAAGAAGAAGAAGGAGUUGUGCUUACAACCUUCACGGCUUCCCCCGACCGAUUAGCAGAUUCCUCUUGCUCAACAAGUUCAACAGCAGCUUUGAAGAAAUUCUUCUUUAGAUUGUGGGAUGCCAUAAUCUCUGAAAGACAACAAAAAAUUUAGCUAGGUUAAAAUCAAGUCAAAAACAAACGACAAAAGGAAUGCCAUAUCGAACACCUCAGUACUGAGGUCCUCCCCACCAAGGCAAUUGAUUAUCUUUGAGGAAGGGAGCUGGCGAGGCAAGUCAUCAAGAACAUUGAGUGCCUCCUGCUCGGCCGGAGUCAUAUCUGACUGUAACCAGGAAGUCACCCAAGUAGGGUCUUCGGUCUAGUACAAAGAAAAUUUUGGUCACUCGUCUUCCCCAAAGAAUAGUAGAUGGCCAAACUCGGUUAAUUCUACCUUAAAAAAUUUAUCAUUGAAGCCCUUGAAUGAAAGAGAAUAAAGCUCAAAUAAGGCUUUCCCUUGCUCGAAGAUCGGGGCGACCCAACCGCGUUUCGGAAUAUGUCAGGUCCAAAAGUAGUGAAGAAAAAGAGCGCGGGUGUAGGUGUGAGGUCCAACACUUAGCAAACGAUGGCGAAGGCCUGAAUAUACCCCUAGUUAUUUGGAUGCAGUUGGAAUGGGGCAAUAUUUAGAGUACGGAGGACGUCCAUUUGAAAAGAGCUAAACGACAGAUACACAAACAUCUCAUGGAACAUAUAAGCGUAAGCGAAGAAGAAGUCACUCUUACUCCCUCCUUUUCCAUGAAACACACGGUCAUUCUCCUCACGGGCCAUUAACCUAAAUAGAGGACCAAAAUCCAUUGACCGCAACACAUAGUUACAAUCAGUCCAGUCCGCCAACUGACUCAUGUCAUGAGACGCUUCAAAAGUAGGUGGAGAACUCACUCACAUCAUGAGACGCUCAGUCGUAGCCCGCGACAAUGGGCAAAGCUCCCACCUGCUUGUUCUCCUCCUUAGCACCCUCCAUAAUCACCCCUCCAUAGACAAAGGUCCACUGACCGUUGAACAUAACCUCUUUAUUUUCUUCUACAAUGGAUUCAUUACCAUCACAACCACCAUCCCGCUCGGUUGACUCCAUGAAGGAGGAAGAAGACUCCGAGCCCACCGAGAAUGAGACCCCAUCAUUGCCCCACCCGCCCCUUCCCGAAGACUCCUCAGACGAAGAGAGGUUCAUGGUAGCCAUUUAUUACAUGAAUUAAAAAAAAGACAAAUAACACUUUCAAACGUUGGAUGAAAAUACGUGAAAAUUAUACAAUGGGUCUUUCCUAUUUAUAGGCAGCAAAUGGAGGACCCAAAGAUCGUCCUAACUGUUGGAUGUAAAGAAAUCCAACGGUCUGAUUCAAAGACUCCAUAACUUCCAUCCAGCAUGAGAAACGAAAAAUCACAUCCAACGGUUAAGAACAGCUGACCUUGCACAUUCCUAUCAACGCAUGAAAUAGAACCAAACGCCAAUGGUAACAAUUUCAAAAUCAAGGCAACACCCCACCCAAACCAUGCACGCUCACCAAACAGUUAGUAAAGUCCCUUGCACAUUCCUAUCAACGCAUGAAAUAGAACCAAACGCCAAUGGUAACAAUUUCAAAAUCAAGGCAACACCCCACCCAAACCAUGCACGCUCACCAAACAGUUAGUAAAGUCCCUUGCCAAACAUGUUCGUCUCGAACUUGGGAGUCUGUGUACUGUAUGAACCGACCGAUAUACGUAUACCGGUAGACCACACGAUUAAUCACCUUUAGAAACGCAUUACAACCAAAUUAAACGAACGGUCACUUACAACACUCAUCGUCGUUAGGUAUAAAGACUUUAGAUUAACAAAGUAAAAACAUACUUAAACAAUGUUAGGCUUACACUUAUCCAAAGAUAAAGACAUAGGUGAUUACAUUUGGCAUUUGAGACUUAAUUAUAACCAUUCGAUAAGACUAACUUGAAUAUCAAGAGUACAUUUCUCCUCAGAAUUUUGAGGAGAAUAACAACAUAUUAUAAGAAAGUUAAAGAGUUAAUUGAAGGCAACAAACUAGAUUAGUAUAUAUGGAAACACAUUAUUUAAAUUGUCACUCAAAACAUAUCUUAAUUACGUUUCCUCACUUCCGCAUCAAUUUAGUUUUUUUAUCAAUUUUUGUUUAAAUAUUUAGUCGAAACAUAUUCAAAAGUUACACAUUCAAGAUGAAAAGGAAAUAAUUUAAAAAAUAACCAAGAUAGUAAAAUAAAAUUUAUUGUGGAUAUGGAAUUGCUUGAUUUGAUUUUAACCCACAAAUAACACCAAUUCAAUCAAAUCCAAGUUAGUGUAAUGAGUGGAUUUGAUGAAACCUCAAUCACAACAUUGUCCAUAAUAAGAACACGAGAAAGAAACUAAAAUUUAAAAAGCACAGCAAAACUUCUUGCCGGGGAGGAAGAAAUGACAAACUUUGGUAUUUUCUCAUUGAAAUGGUAGACAAUAAUACAACAACGGUGUAACAUUGGUACAAUAAAGAUAUGUCUGUCACUAUUUGCUGCACGAGGACCUUCAAACUACUUAAUUCAUACAGAAUAUCUUUCCAUUAUGCCCCAAGAGAAAAGAAGAAACAUAUGUACAAGGGUUGAGCUUUUAUGGAACCCCUCCAGAGGGUCUCACUGUUUUGUGAAAGGCCGUGUAUAACAUUUGUGAAGGGAUAAAUCCUGAACUAUUGAGCAUAUAUGUAAUAGGCCAAGUCAAAUAAAAGCCGCAUCUUUCUGUUGUUAGUUUUCAAAUUUGUAUCAAUUGUGGGAUAAGCUUCAAAAGGAAAGAUAAAUCCUGCUGUGAAAAUUGUGGAUUUGAGUUCCCCUGCACCGUCACACUCCCCUCCGUAAAACCCUCCCCAUCACCACCCUUUUUUGGCUUUAUCAUAUCUGCAACUGCUUCGGUUAUUUCUUUAACCAGAUCCACAAUUACUCCAUCAAUUCCCAUUAGAUGUUGCAUGUAAACUGCCUCAGGAACAUUGCUGCAAUGUCAAAUAUAAUCAUGAGCCAAAAUGUUACACCAAACACAUUCUUUUCUCAAGCAAUUAACAAAGGAAAGAGAGUACUAAAAACAAGCAUACUUUAAUUUGCCGUAAGAAAGGAGGCAGAGCUUGGACUCCUUUAUCUUGGUUACUGUAGAAGGAUCUCUAAAAAUCCCUUUAAUUUCUGAGACAAUUCCUUCCAAUCCAUUCUCAACAGAGAGCUUCAUGGCCUCCUCCAGUGAGUUUCUUCUCACAUCUUCAUAGAUUUCACAUCCUCCAUUUGUCAAGAAAAAGACCUGGUUGUUCCCAACAAAUUAACCACAACAUCAGAUCCAGUUAAAGAAAUAAAAUAAUUUCUCAGAACUAAAAAGGCUUAAAGAACUAACAGGGUAGUUGCUUUGCAAUUUCCGGAUGAGCAAGGCUGCAUCUGGCUGGAAUGUUGAGAAGAUAAUAGGUCUAUCCUUGGCGUAUUCAAACACAACCUGCACCCCACAAAUACCAAAGACAAUGAGAGAUCCAAGUCACCACUUUUGAAAUGUAAAACUAAAACAAAACACUCAGUGUCCCCCAUAAACACAUUUUAGGCUUAAAAUAGACUCUCUUAGCGUACCUUUAAGAUGGUUUGAAGGACAUGGACGAGAUAAUCUUGCUCAUAGACAAUGUGAUCAUCGAACUUCAACUCAAUAUUAAAACCAAUAGCGGGUUCCACCUUCACAAAAGCCUCUUGGAGAGUGCAAAGUGAGUCAUCUUGUUCAACAUCCCAUGGCAUUAUCUUCCCAUCUUUUUUCCUUAGCAAAACCUUUCCCUCAUUGCCAUGCUCUCUCUGAGGCCCAUAAGAAAGAAACUCUGAGAGACUCAGCUCUGUGAUCCUCCUUCCAGUUACAGCACCCUGCAAAACACAUUAAUUUCAACGUAACAAACCCAAAAAACUCGACCCAUUGAAAAGAAAAAGAAAGAAAUCAUCAAAGCUAAGCAAAAACAAAAAAACUCACAUUCUCCUCCGAGAAGAUGAAAUCGUCGUGGAAAAUGACGGGGCAAUCAUCUCUCGUCACCUACAAAAAACGUGCAUUUUUUAAUUCGUUUUCUUUUUUUUUUCUAUAAAAAAUGCAACGCGUCAAACAAAAACAAACAAGCAGCCAAUCAGUACCGAACAGACGGUCAAAAAAGGGCCGAGAAAGGCAAAUUAUUUACAGAAAAGCCAUCGGGGUAAAAUAGGAAAAGAAGAAAAGUAGUUGUUGCGAAACACAAGAAGCGAAAACGGUGCGCGCGGUGGAACAUUAAAUUAUUGCAUUGAGUGCAAAAGCAGAAAGAGGAAAAUAAAAGAAAAGGUCACCUGAACGUCAAAUUCUAUGAAAUCGAGAGGAAAAGUAGAGGCGGCGUUGAAGGACAUAAUGGUAUUUUCCUUUAUGGCUCUCAUUCUUCGAUCCGAAGAUUGCAGAACGUUCAUGCCGUUACCCCUGUGGCCGAUGACGACGAACUUGGGCAUCUUGAAGCCACUCCGAGCAAUCUCGACCCCUGCAUUAACGAUUAAAAGAAUGUUAGGAAGAAAAGAUGGGAAGAGGAAGAAGAGAAGGAAAGAGAUGGAAAGAACCGUUGGGGAAGCGGGAGGAGCAGAGGGCGAGAGAGGCAUUCUCGGGGACGUGGUCAAGGGAAGGGACGUCGGUGACAUGGACGGCCUUGAGAGCCAUUUGGGUGGAAGGAAAGAGAGAAAGGAGGAAGGGGAAAGGGAGGUGGUGAUGAGGAGGGCACCGGAUGGUUUGUGGGUGAUGGUGGUGGUGGUGAAGAACAAGGCAUGGUUUGGUCCGCUAUUUAUUGCUUCCACCUACGCCAAAUUCACCCUCCAACGGAUCUCCCCACGAAUAUUCCCCUCCCAUCUAUAUGCUUGGGAUAUUCCCUUGUCAUUUUCCACCCUUUCAAUUUCAACCUACACUUUUUCUUUUUCUAUAUCUAUAUCUUCAACAAAAUAUGUCAUUAUAGAUUUUUUACUAAUUUAUUGGACUAGAUUUUCGUCUAAUAUAUUAAUAAUAAUACCAUAUUUAAAUAAAAUAUUUAUAUAUAUCAUCCAAAUAAGUUCAAAAUAAUAACUGAAAAUUUUGAAACCGAACAAUUUUUUUUUAUACAAAAUUUAAAAACAAACACCUUUUCAACCAUUUAAACCACUAAAACAACCAACAAUUGUUUUAUCUCUUACUACAACUUCCAAAAAUAAAGCAAUUGACCAUGAAUACCUUUCAAUUCCAACAGACUUUGAAGCUAGCAUAAAAAAAUCUUGAAACAAUAUCGGAUAACUAGGAAUUGGUUCGAUCAAUUUCCAGCACAAACUGUUCUAGACACCAAAAAUGGAAGCCCUAUGACCAUUUUAAGAGGAAAAGCUAUACAUCUUUUAAUUGGAUGAUUUUAUUUAUUUUUUAAAUAAAAAAAGUAAUUCUUUAUUUAUGUAAUAAAAUAAAUUAUUAAAUAUUGUUUGUUUAAAAAAAAUAAAUUUCUAAAAUAACACUUGCGUAAAAUUAUAUAUAUUUUGUAGUGAUUGGAAACAAUGCUGUGGUGGUGGCGGGUGAGAAGUGGCUGGGUGACAGCUGGGGUAUUAUGUUAUAGUCGUUGACCUGUGACAAGGCAAACUACAAGGUUUUUGAAGAAAAUCUGUGGUGGGAUCGUCCGAACAUUGCGGACUACGGUAUUUUAUAAGAUAGAGGAUGAAUGAAGAAACAUAAUUGAUCGGGUAUGACGUGGUGACACAACAGCAUGUAGAUAGAUAGAGAAAGGUGGGUGGUUAUAAUUGGAUAAGACUACAAAAAGGAUUUAGGAAUGACUCAUGGCUGCCUUUGCCAAACUAUUAAUUUUAUUUAAUGAUAAAAAUUGAUGUUGUCUUUGUACUUUUAGGAAAACAAACAAAAAGUUAAAAUACGGUGGAAACAAUUUGAUAAAAAAAUUGGAAUUUUUUUUGAAAAUAAUGUAUUUUAAUUAGUUUGAUAUAAAAUAGAAACAUUAGGAAAUAUCACAUUCUAUGUUUUUAAUCUUUACGAAAAUAUUUAUUAGUAUAAUUACGUGGUACAAGUAAAAAUCUUCUAGAUAAACUAGAAUUCUCUAUAAGUUGAAUUGCUGUCUGAUUGAGGAGAAGCGGAUUGAGCUUCAAGAAAAAGGAAAAGUAGAGAAAGAUUCAUGUACAAAAUAAAGUUAAUAAAAAAGUAUAAAUAGUAUAAGUGUGAAUAGGAGAUAUACCUGGAUCAAUAGACACACAUUAAAUCGAUUAAUAUUUCAUAUAUGAUAAUAAGAUCAAGAGAUAAUAUGAAUAAAUUUGGAUUGGACUCAAAUAAACCUUUAUUAUAAAAGUUAUUGGGUUUGGACUUAUUUAGUUUUAAAUAUAUAAUUUUGGUUUAAUAAAUUUUAAAUGAUUUUUAUUUUUAUAAAAUUAAAGUAUACAUGAGAGAGUCCGUGUAUAUAUUAAUCUCACAUGACAUUAAAAUCGAGUUUUAUAUUAAAAGUUUUAAAUGUACAAAGGUGAACUUCAGGGAAGACAAAGUAAAAAAAAUUAAAAAUUUUAAGUGGAUCUCCCUUUAAUUUAAAAAUGCAAAUGAGAUUGGGAAAAAGAAUCGAAGAUCCGUAUUAUUAGAUUUGUGUGAGAAAAAAAAAAUCGCAUUCUUUCGUUCAAAAUUUUCUUAAAAAAACUGAAUUUAUAUGUGAUAGUAGCUCAUCCUCUGCAAUUAUAAAAAUAAAAUAGACUAAAUUCUUAUUACAAAGCAAGAGAGGAGGAAAAGAUCUAAGAGUUUUUAUAUCUUGGUAUGCAUUUAGCUACAGUAUGAGCUCCAGAUUUAACUGAUAACAUAGUCCAUGUAAUUUAAUUUGGACAAUGAAUGAAAAGUGACAAUGACUUCCAGAUAUCCAUGAUUUAAAUUACAAUGGAAAAAUAGAAGAAGAAAUGAGGAAGAAUGUGAGGGACUGGGACUAAUUAAUAUAUUAAAUAUUUUACAUCUAACUCUCUUAAUGUAUACACUUCUUCUGAACUUUAUCUGAGAUGAACAGUUAUAGAGAUGAACAGUCAGAGAGGGUGUUGAAAGAGAGAGCUCCCAAUGCAAUUCACAUCCUCCGCUUCAUGCUCUACCAUAUCACUCUCAAAUGGCUGCCAUGCAAUGUGCUCUAACUUCUCUUAUGGACUCUCAAAACAAACCAUAUGCCUUCAACAAAUCAACAUUAGAAUUACCUUUCCAGGACGCUUCUUCUUCUUCCAGCAACAAUGAGAAAUUCUCUUCAAAAUCCAAAAAGUACUCCUCUAAUUUACACCUCACCAUCUUUCAGCCAUGGGAAAUCAUACACCCCAAGUCCCAACUCGAAUUCCCAUGCAUCUCAACAACAAUCCUCUUUCUCUCUAAUAAAGAACGAAGAAAGAAAGAACGAGCGAUUUUUUUCCCUCACACAAACCUUAUAAUACGGAUUCUUAAUUUUUUAAUGCCAUGUAUGAUUAAUGUAUACAUUGAUCAUAUCACGUAAGCGAAACUUAAACGAUCUUUUGUUCAAUUUGACGGCAGGCUCUAAUUACUUCAAUUUUUAAAAAAUAAGGAUCUAAUUAAGAUGGCAUAAAAAAAAAGGGACUUAUUUGACAUUUUGGACCAAAAUAGGAACAAACCGAGACAUUAAACCUAUAGUCUUUCAUAAUUAUUCUUUUCCAUUUGUUAUUUAAAAAACGUUAAAAUUAGAAAAUGUUAAUUUAUAUAACAAAGAUAAUAAAGAAUUUUAAAUGGAAAUAAUUAUAAUUUUAAAGCAUAAAAUUUAAUAAAUCUAUACUUAUAUAUAUAUAUAUAUAUAUAUAUAUAUAUAUAUAUAUAUAUAUAUAUAUAUAUAUAUAUAUAUAUAUAUAUAUUAUGGGUUUGUUAACGUGCGUAUGCCUCUUUUCAGUUGGUACAUUUUAACAAUGUGUACCGGAUUAUAGUAGACAAAAAUAUCAUCAUAUAUUAUGGAUUCUAAGUUUUAAAGUCAAGGAUAUUUAAAUAAUUUUCAUUCUGAAAACUAAAAAAAAAAAAGAAAUCCCCAAACCCUUACUCACCUCUCCCAUUCCUAUCAAUUCUUUCUGUUUCAUUUCUCUCACUCCAACUUUUUCUCUGUCAUUUUUACUAUAGCCCCAAUUAAAAAAAAUUAGAAAAACUUGCUGUUAAGAAAUUUCUUACAAAAAAAUGAUUUUAUAAUGAGUUUUCAUUUUAUAACUUUUGUCUUAUCUAAUUUUCACAAGCAUAAUGACAUAUGAAGGAAUUGGUAAUUCGCCUGAAAAAAAAAAUAAAAAACACUCGCUAUUAAACAAUUUCUUACAAAAAAUGAUUUUAUAAUGAGUUUUCAUUUUAUAAUUUUUGUCUUAUCUAAUUUUAUUUAAUUUUCACAAGCAUAAUGACAUCAGAAGGAAUUAGUAAUUGGCCUGAAGAUUUUUUAAGAAAUGACGAUUCAACAUCUGCAGAUGAUGAAAUUAGAGAUGUUAGUGAAGAUGAUGAAAUUGAAGAGAUCUUGAAUGAACCUUUGCCUGAAAGCGAAUAUGCCAAUGACUCAACUCUUUACAAAGGUAAAUUGUUUAAGGAUGAGUAUUUCUAAUUUUUUUUUCAAUUGGAUCUACCAUAGGAUGAUAGAGAAACGGUUGGAGUGAGAGAGAUGAAAGAGAAAGGAUUGAGAGGAAUGAGAGAGGUGAGUAAGGGUUUGGGUUUUUUUUUUNUUUUGUUUUGAGAAUGAAAAUUAUUUAAAUAUCCUUGACUUUAAAACUUAGAAUCUUAAUAUAUGAGGGUAUUUUUGUCUACUAUAAUCCGGUACACAUUGUUAAAAUGUACCAACUGAAAAAUAGGCGUACAUAUAUAUAUAUAUAUAUAUAUAUAUAUAUAUAUAUAUAUAUAUAUAUAUAUAUAUAUAUAUAUAUAUAUAUAUACAAACACACACACACAUACGGGGUUUGUUAACAUACGUAAGCUAUAUUUUUACAGUUAAUACAUUUUAGCAAAGUAUACCGAGUUUUAGUAGACAAAAAUACCCUUAUACAUUAUGGAUUCUAAGUUUUAAGGUCAAAGAUAUUUGAAUAAUUUUCGUUCUUAAAACUAGAAAGAAAAACAAGAAACCUGCAAACCCUUAGUCACCCUUCUCUCAUCCCUCAUUCCUCUCAACCAUUUCUCUUUUAUCACUCUCUGUAACCUUUUCUCUGUCAUCCCUAUAAUAGCCCCAACUGAAAAAAAAAAAAUCAGAAACACUCGCAUAACCCUAAUCCACCUUCCUCAUUUAUCCAAUUUGUUUCUCUCUCAUCUUCACCUCUCUCGUCCACACACAGUAACUCGCGACAUUGCAAUUUGUAGUUCUUGCUCUGUUCGUUCAUUUGUUUCCACUUUAAUAACAAAAUAAUUGAUGAUGUUGAUGUUGAUUUUUGAUUGAAGGGUUGUUAUAUUUUUUUCCCUUAUGAUUAUUAUUAAAUUUUGUUUUUAAAUUUUAGAAUUAGUAGUUUAUCUAUAGGGAGAUUUGAUAUUUUGACUAUUAAGUUGUCCGAAAAUAUUUUUCAGAAGAGAAAAAUAGUUACGUGGAAAGGCGAUUCCCGAAAGGGUAAGUCAUUGUCCAAAAAAUGGAUUUCUGAAGUCAGUUCUUAAAAAUAAUUCUAAAAACAUAUUUUGCGCUGAAAGCAAUACUUUGGAAUAUACUUUUCACCUUCCUGCAUAUAACCAACGUCAAAACACAACAAAAAAUGAAGCUCAUGUACAUCGUACUAAAUGAUUUAACAGGAAAAAAUUAUUGAAGAGAGUUAUGAACAUAAAAGAAUUUUGUUGUUGUCCACUAGACUUUUCACUCAAUUCUGGUUGUGUAAUAUUGUUCAUCACUCCUGAUGUCCACUAGACAAACUCGUCUAGGUACCGCUUAAUCCAACCAAGUUAAGCCUUAAGUGUUUGAAUUAUCUUCAAAAUAUGCAAUCAAUCAAAUCACCUACAAGUCAUUAGAUGAUUACUCUCAUAGUGAGGAUUUGCUUACAAUAUAAUUCAAUCUAAUAGACUUUUGAAAUUUUCUUUUUUCUUACAAGUGUAACUUUCUAACUCUAAACAACUCUGAGAGUAUUCUUGAUCUUUCAAUGAGGAUGAUUUUUCUUUAUAUUCCUUAUGUGUCCAUCCUUUUUUCCUUCUUAACCAGAUAUCUUCUCUUUAUAAGCGUUUUUUGAGAAUUUAGUCGUUAGAUGAUGCUUGUCUUUGAAUUUUAGCUCUUUGUAGCCUGCCUUUAUCAUAGGUGGUUGUCAUAGGUUGAGGUCUACUUGUCAAAGUAGGCUUACUUUUUUAGUACUUUAUCAAAAGUAGGUUGUACGAAUUCUUUGGCUCGACUUUUGAUAAGAAGGUCAUUCCAUGAAUGUCUUCUUUGUCUCUAACUUGUAUUUGAUAGAGAAGGUGGAUGCUUGACUUAGGUAAUUUGCAUAAAGUAGAGUAGAUAUUCAUACAAGCAUAUAUGUCUGUUUUCCUUUCACUUUUGCUAUUUUGAGACAUUGUGUUUUUUAAUGCGCGUUUAGAACAACUAUAAGUAUUUUAAAAUUUCCUUGCUCAAGCAGCAUUUGGUUGUUUAAGCAUUCUAGUAGAGAUACCUAGUAGAUCAUGAGAGUUUCAUCAUUGGAUGAAAACUUCGUUUAGCACAUGAUAUCGUUUAGCCUAUGCAAGGCUUUUCAUAAUAGUGCCUUGUUUAAUAAAUACUCGUUUGAUUUAAGAGCGCAUUUAGUGAGAUAUCUUUCAACAUCAAUUUUUGGAACAAUGAUUGUAUCUUUUAGCACAUUUACCAAAAACAUCAUUUUAUAUAUAUCAUAGUGAGAUCUUGUUUAGCUUUGUUUAGCAAAGUAUAGCACAAAUGUGUUUAACAAGACUCUCAUAUAGCUCAAUGACGCAUUUAGUAGUGAAAUCGUUUAGUAGUGCAUCUACUUAUGUAUUAGUGCAUUUAUUAAAGUUUUUUCUUUCAUGGAAAGUCUUUUUAUGUAGCGAUAUGAGUUUUACAAAGGUAAUACUUUGUUAAUCAUCUAUUUCGGUCAUAUUCUUAUUUACUAAUUCUCAAGUCAUGUGAAGAUGCUAAACAAUCUUGAUCUUAUCUUAGCAAACUUCCUUUCUUCUUGUAGUACUGAUUUAUUGUGUAGCACUAUCGUUUUGUAUUAUGUCUCUUCUUAGGAAUGAAUUGUUUUCUUUUAGGAUGAAGAUAUAUUCUUUUAUUUUACGAAUAUUUUAUUUGCAAUGCGUGAUUACUUGAUAGAUUCUUGCACUCAAUGUUUUGUCAGUUUUACUUGGACACUUCUUAUGCUUAUUGCUUUGUAAUUGUAUAUUUGUAGGCAUACUGUAUGUAGGCUUCUUCUAUGUUUCUAUGUUAUUUCAGCUUAUCUCUUUUGUUGUUUAACAACUUAUGUAACUUUAGAUGUAACCUUGAUUUUUACUUUGAUUUGGCUUGACAAUAUAGAUGCUUCUAACCUUAGACGUUUUUCUUUUGGACAUCUUUUUUCCGCUAAAUGGAUAACUAGAUGGUUUGCAAAGUCCACUUUCUAGUGUUUAGAUGAUUUUUCUUUUACAAUUAUCAGAUAAUGUCAUCGAUAAAUAUAUCAUCCAUAAAUAUCAUCCAUAAAUAUAAUGAAUAAUUGUACUUAAUUUAUCUAUCAUUCUAAAAAUAACUUUUUUUUCUAAUCGACUUAAUGAGUCCACUACUAAAUUUAUUAUUAUAUAUUAUUUAAUAAUAUUAUCUUGAAAAUAUUUUAUCAAGAUAAUUUUAUGAAAUAUUAAUUAAAAAACAAUAAACAUUUAUAACAUUUAUAAGAAAGUGUGAUAUUUGAGAAAAACAUAAUAUAAUAUUUAAAAUAAAAGACAACUUAUUAGAAGAAAUGAGAAGAACAGGGAUGGAACUAAAGGUUAAUAAAUAAAAUUGAUGUUUUUCUAUUUUUACAAUUAAUUAUUUUUAGAAUAAAAGUUGUGUAUGGAAUUAAAAAUUCUAUACAAUAAUUUGUUAAGAGAUAAAAUAUGGUCGUAGAGGAUUAAUAAUUUAUUUAUUAAUUUUUCUAUUACUUUUGAUAGUUAACCAUGGAUGAUUGUUAUAGUUUUUUAGAACAUUAGUUACUUUCCUUAGUUAGUUUUAAUUUUUUUUUUCUACAAAUAGUUGAGUAAAUUAUUUUUCUAUACCAUAUGUUACGGAUGUUUCUUUAAUUAGUUUUAUACUUUCUAGCAAAUAAUUAAACACAAUUAUUAUCUUACGCAUGAAUGUGAAACAUGAUAUAAAUGUGUAAAAUUAACUUAUGAAAUCUUAUGAAAUAUAUGUUAAUGAAGUUGAAUCUCAUUUUCAAUUAAAAGGAAAACAAACUGAAAGAAAGACAACACCAAUUUCAUUCAUGUAUUUAUGAGGUGUCAAAGUUUCAUUUUAACAUUUUGUCUUUUCACAUAAUAUUAAUUGAAAAAAAAAAGUAAUGAAAAGGUGGAGAAAAAAAUGUAUGAUUUUAGUAUGUCUUCCGUUGUAGCCAAAAAACUGCUCACUGAAAGGAAUUAAAAAAUAGAUUUGAAUAGGAGUCUGUCAGACAACCCUGCAACCAUCCCCAGCUUGUAAAGUCAGGGAACGAUCCUCUACAGCUGGUGAUGGGUCUCGUCCAGAAACGAAGCCCACACUGCCGUUAAUCACGCUCUGAUCACAGGGUAAUAAUUCAUCCACCAGACUUCAGUUCCUGUCUCCUUAGAACUUAAGGAUACAGAGGUACGAACCUAUAGAACAGAUCCUGUUCAAGUAAGGUCGU
rnacentral:lncRNA from 1 species